rnacentral:lncRNA from 1 species
GGAAAAGCUUUGCGGUGAGAUCUUUAAGGCUUUGCUUCUCUUCCUUAGGCUUAGCGGAGAUAACGGUGUUGAGAUCGUAACGGAGGUACGAUGCUCUUAAACGGAGAUCGUUCUGAACAUAGGGCCAAGCUUUUUUGUCGAUAAAUGACUUAACGUUGAUGAUCUCUUUAGCAGAAUCUUUGGCUCUAGCUGCAGCUUCUGUUGGUGACAAUGGUUGUAUGUAAAAUCUAUCUUUCAAUGCCAAUGAAAAGUCUCUUGCUUGGUCUGAGUUAUCUGUUCCAGCUGCUCACACACAAAAAAACAAAAACAAAAGCAGAACCAUAAUCAAUCAAACAGAACCGGUCUCUAUAAUCUAAUUACUAAAACUUUUAUCUUACAAAAGUGAUUAAAGAUACGUUUGAUAAAAACCUAAAUUAUAACCAUGCAAGCUAUAACACAAUAAUUUCGUUUUGUUAUCUCCUUAACCAAAAAAAUAGUAUUAGUCAUUAUGUGAAAUUUAAUUAAAUUAGUUUUACUUACGUAGGCCACCGGAAGGAAGUGGAGGACCACCAACUUUGAUCGGAAUAGCUUCGGCGAAAACAGCUUUAACGAAUGAACCACCGGCUAAACCAGCCGCCACGAGUCCAAUCACUGACCGGCGACUACUUUCUGGUACUGACACGUUCUGCUGAGCCCUGAUCACAAGUCCGGUUCUCUGAGACCCAACCGAGACUCUUGAGAUGUUCAAACGGUUUGAGCCGUUGAUCUGUAAACUUCCUUCAAGGACAGCCUGAGAUGCUCCACGUAAGCCAGCCAUCGAAGUCACUGCUUGAGCCAUUUUUUUUUUAUCUGCUUUGAAUAAUUGAUUAGUGAAGUGUUGAGUUAUAAUUUUUGGUGUUUGGUUAUGUGACAAAGAAUACCUUAUCUGAUUCACGUUGUUACUUAGAUUACUCGGAUAUGGUUUUAACUACUAAUAUGUUGACACGUGGUUUCUUGAUUCUCAGUUUUGCCACAUAGGAUUGAGAUCGAGUGUUCCCAGAAUGCGAUUGUCACGUGGCUGAAUGACGUGGAAAUUGACCAAUUCGGUUAAACCUAGUCAAAGUUAAUUGAAAACCGGUUUCGAUAAUAUCUAAGCAAAUUGUAACUUAAAUCCAAUCCAACUUGACAAAUAAAUGAAAUCCCUUAUUGUUAAAAAAAAGUACAAAUUGAAAAAUAGAUAAUUUUGGCCUCAAUUUCAAUUUUGGAUUUUGUACAUAGCCAUUAAGAAUAAUUUGGUCAAUUCAAUCUAUUAAAGUUUAUAUGAUCCACAUUUUUAAUUUCGGGUGGGUUAGGAAUAAUAGUCACUUAUUCACGAAUUCAAAUACCUAAUCAUGUUUAGCAUCCAAAGUAGACAAUCUUAACCGUUCAACAAUAUUGGUAUCACUACUUCAUUUUGGUAUCUAAAUAUGAGCAUAUUUCAUUCCAAAAAGAAUUAUAAUCACAAAAAUAAUAAUAAUAAAAAAACUUAUAAUCACAAAAAAAAUUACACCGUUUUUACUAUUUUACAUUUUUGUUACUACUUUACUUAUAUUUAAAUUACAUACACACAUUAAAACACAUUAUUUUAAUCACUAAAUAACAACUAACCAAUAAAAAUCUCAAUCAUUAUUUAUAAAAAUUUAAAAUAAAAGAAAUAUUUUAUAAAUUUAUAAUAUAAAUAUAAUCAAAUACUUAAUUAAAAACCAUAUAAGAUUGACGACCUGAAAGAGGAUGGAUCAAAUGCAACUUUGAUGGCUCAUUCGUUAAUGGAGAUGUAGAAAGUAAAGCAGGUUGGGUUGUUCGGGAUAGUAAUGGAAGUUAUCUACUGGCGGGUCAGGCUAUAGGAAGAAAGGUGGACAAUGCUCUGGAGAGUGAAAUUCAAGCGCUAAUCAUUUCAAUGCAGCACUGUUGGAGUCAUGGUUACAAACGGGUUUGCUUUGAAGGAGAUAACAAGAUGCUGUUUGACCUAAUCAACGGAUCCAAGGUACAUUUUGGCGUUCACAACUGGAUACGAGACGUUCAUUGGUGGUCAAGGAAGUUUGAAUCAAUCCAUUUCAAUUGGAUAAGAAGACAUCACAAUGUUCCAGCUGAUAUUCUUGCUAAAGCUCCUCUCCAAAACCAAUCUUUAUUCCUUAAUCAUUUUUGGGUUCCUAAUGUAAUAAGCUAUGCUUUACAUUGUGACUACACUGCUGAUUUAUAAAUCAAUAAGAUGAUGAUGACAAAAAAAAAAAAAAAACAUAUAAAACCGAGGCCCGCUGUAAACCACGGGUUGAAUCCUAGUUAAAGUAAGUAAUAACUCUCCAAAAUUAUCCCAAAAUCGAAUAUUAACUGCGAAUCAAACUAAAAACAAGAAUUUGAAACUUUUAAAACCCUUCAUUUUAUACAAAAUAAAAGAAAAAUAAUUUUAUAAAAAGAUUUAACCAUAAAAUAGAAACCAAUUUGAUUAAUAUCUUACUUUUUUUUCUUUCCCAUAAUUUAUUUAGCCAACAAAAAGUCACGCAAAAUAUGGAAUAUCACUAGUGUUAAUGGACCGAGUUUUAAGUCAAUUGGCUCAAAUGGAGCCUAUACUUUAUAUAAUAAUAAUUUAAAUAUUAAUGGACAAGAGUAACGUUACAAUGUUGAUGGGCCUGAAAGUUAAGUCAAUUGGCCUGAGAGUAAGUAUCUAAGGAAAAAAAAGAUUAUUGUUUAAUGCUGAUGGGCCUGAAAGUUAAUAUUAUAAUCGAGGAGAAGAGUAACGUUACAAUUUUGACAAGAGUCCGCCGAUCUGUUUUCAAAUAUUCAAACAACAGGCUCCUCCUUCUUCCUUCCUCCUUCCUCAAUUCUUAAAAUCUCCCCCAUUAGGAAAAAAGCAAGAACCCUAAUUUCCCAUCUCAGAUUCAGAAAAAACCAGGUCUGAUUUCUCCCGGGUUCUUAAGAAAUCCGCCGCCGAUCUCGGGAUUGAGAUUUGGAUCCUAUUGACGAGCCUAAGGUGAAGCAAUCCAUCGAAGAUGCCACUUCGCAACCAGAAUCGCGCUCCUUUACCUAGUCCAAACGUCGUAAGCCUUCUUCUUUCUUUUAUUUUCCUUCUUCUAAGAGAGAAGCGGAGAUUGUAAAAGUCAUAACGAUAUUUUUCAGUUUAAUUGUUUGAUUUAGGGUUUUGUUCAAUUGAGAAGAUCUUGUGGGUUCUCUUGAGAAAUUGAUUCAUAAAAGUCUGUGGCUUUACUUAAUUUUGUUGGUUUUUGAACUAUGUUUAAGAAAAAGGAAGCGCUCUCAAGUAUUCCUUUUGACAAGCGAAGGAAGGAGACGCAAGGUACUGGAAGAAGACAAGUGCUUUCGACAGUGAACAGACAAGAUGCGAACAGCGAUGUGGGAAGCACAGAGGAGUGUGGUAAAGUUGAGUUUACAAAAGAUGAAGUGUUGGCUUUGCUUAACGAGAGAGCUAAAGCUGGAAAAUUUGAUACCAAGGUUUGUGAACCGAAUAACCAAUUGGUUGAUUAUAGGAGAUUCUAAGAAAAAAAUCACUUUAAUAUGUAUUUGCAUUGUGGUACUAAUAGGGUAAGAUUGAGCAAAUGACGGAUAUUAUCAAGAAGCUUAAGGUCUGUGUUAGAUGGUACCAACAAGUGGAUGAAACUCAUGUUCAAGACAAGGAAAAUCUUUCUUCUUCUCUUCAAUCUGCAGAGAAAAGAUACAGUGAUAAAGGUGAAUUUUAGUUUUCUAGUUACAUGUUUGGUUCUCACAUCGUUUUGUGUACACUGAAUAUGGACUUGAUUUCUCAUUAUUUCUAGAGUUGGAUGCAAAGACCAAAGAGGAAGAGCUACGAGCAACUAUAACAGAGAUGAAGGAGAACAUAGAAUCACUUCAGGAAAAGCUGUCCAAGGAGAAGUUGAGUAAACUGGUAAGGAUUUAUCGCUCAAAGAAUCGUUUAUCAUUGUGCAAACUUAUCUCCUAAAGAAUCGUUUAUCAAGUUUGGUGACUCUUAAUUGGUUAUGACUACUAGGAUGCAAUUGAAAAUCACAGAAGAGAAAAAGAUUGUAGAGUUGUAGCUGAGAAGCUUCAGGUUUCUCUCAGAGAAGAGCUUGACAAAGUUAAAGAGGAAAAAAUGGCUGCGAAGCAGAAGGUACUUAAGAUUUGCUUUUCGCUAAUGUGUUGUUUACUUGUUUCAUUCUCUGUUAACUCCUCUUAGCUCUUGGCUCAAUCUUUUAGUUGUUGUGUUAACUGGAAUGUUUUCUUUCUUUCUAGGUGACGUCUCUAGAAGAUAUGUACAAGAGGCUGCAAGAGUACAACACAAGUUUGCAACAAUAUAACACCAAACUCCAGACUGAUCUUGAAGUAGCUAGAGAGGCUCACACUCGUGCUGAAAAAGAAAAGUCAAGUAUACUGGAGAAUCUUACUACACUAAGAGGUCACAGUAAAUCACUACAAGAUCAAUUAGCAUCGAGCCGGGUAAAUAUCCCUGGUCUACAAACGUGAUUCUUGUAUUUCUUAAUUUGUGAUUGAUUUUUCAUUGCAUCUUACUUCGUUUAUCUUCCCCUUUUGUGAUCAAGGUUUCACAAGAUGAAGCGGUAAAACAAAAGGAUUCAUUGCUGAUGGAAGUUAAUAACCUUCAAAGCGAGCUGCAACAAGUCCGUGAUGAUCGUGAUCGCCAUGUUGUACAGUCACAAAAGCUGGCUGGUGAGAUACUGAUGUAUAAGGAGAGUGUUGGAAAGUCAUCUCAUGAGUUGGACAUUCUUAUAGCCAAAUCAGGAUCUUUAGAGGUUAGUCAAAGUCGACGUUUCACAUCCUUGCCUUAUAUUUUCAAUAUUCUGACAAUGUCAAUCUUAUGCUGCAGGAAACAUGUUCGUUGCAAAAAGAGCGUAUUAAAAUGUUGGAGCAGGAAUUAGCUUUUGCUAAGGAAAAGCUUAAGGUAUUAUGCGAUCAAGUACCUUUGGAAUUUUGAUUGGUGAUCUGCCAACUUUCAGAUACUCUUUAGUUUGCCAAUUGUUUCUUUACACUGACAUACGUUUAUUUGCUUUCUACAGAUGGUGGAUUUAUCUAUGUCUCAUACAAUGACAGAAUUUGAGGAGCAGAAACAAUGUAUGCAUGAACUGCAAGAUCGCCUUGCAGACACGGAGCGUCAACUUUUUGAAGGAGAGUUAUUAAGGAAAAAGCUUCAUAACACCAUUCUUGUAAGAAAAUGUCGUUUUGGAAACACUUUUCAGUUAUAGUAUGACUUUCUUUAUGGCCGCUAAGCAAAGCUUUUAUUCCAGGAACUCAAAGGAAACAUACGCGUGUUCUGCCGAGUGCGCCCCUUGCUACCAGAUGAUGGAGGACGCCAAGAGGCCAGUGUUAUUGCCUAUCCUACAUCAACUGAAUCUCUUGGUAGAGGCAUUGAUGUGGUCCAAAGUGGUAAAUUCAGCAACCCACCUUAUUACUUUGCUCAAUUAGGAUAUGUCUGUACUAGAGUUUAAUACAUUUUUAUUGCCUUGUGCUACUUGGGGGUCUCAGGUAACAAACAUCCUUUCACUUUCGACAAGGUCUUCGACCACGGAGCUUCUCAGGAGGAAGUAUUCUUUGAAAUAUCUCAACUUGUGCAGAGCGCAUUGGAUGGCUACAAGGUUCAAUAUCUUCCUUGUUUUGACUUUCUUGUAGAUAGAUACCUAAGAUGCAAAUUCUAGUUAGAUAGAAGUAGUAUUUGACUCAUGGUUAUUGUCCUUAUGUAGUUGAAUUUAUUAAGAACUCCUGUUUAUGUGAAGCAGACUACACUUUGACUGAUUCCUUUGUUACUGCACCAACUCUUGUUUAAAUGAGACAGACAUCACUUUGACUGAUUCUUCUGUCAUUGCAUCUUUCUCAAAUCUUUGUGGACACAGGUUUGUAUUUUUGCCUACGGUCAGACAGGUUCUGGCAAAACCUAUACCAUGAUGGGCAGGCCUGAAACACCAGAACAGAAAGGACUGAUCCCUCGAUCACUCGAACAAAUAUUCAAAACCAGCCAAAGUCUUAGUACACAAGGCUGGAAAUACAAGAUGCAGGUAAAUAUUUCUCCAAGAAUGUUCUGACUUUUGUUGAAUGCUUUCACUGUUAGCAUUGUUUUGAUCGAAUUUUAAUUGUAGGUCUCAAUGUUGGAGAUAUAUAAUGAGUCCAUCAGAGACUUGUUGUCUACAAGCCGAACGAUUGCUAUAGAAUCUGUGCGGGCAGACAGUAGCACAUCUGGAAGACAAUAUACAAUCACACAUGAUGUUAAUGGAAACACUCAUGUUAGCGACCUGACAAUAGUAGAUGUAUGCAGCAUUGGACAAAUUUCCUCACUUUUGCAACAAGCUGCUCAGAGCAGGUUUGUCUAUAAGUUUUGGGAACUUUUUUCUUCAAAGAGCAUGGCUUUUGAGAAUAUUGUUACACUGUCGUUUCUGUAUAGUUACAUCGUAAACCUCUUAUUUGUAGGUCUGUUGGGAAGACGCAUAUGAAUGAACAAUCAUCAAGAAGUCAUUUCGUGUUUACUCUUAGGAUUUCUGGUGUGAAUGAGGUUAAUAUCUUUUGUCUUUCAGGUUUAUGUUUUGUGUUGUAGAUUUAUUUCUCACUUAUGAAAACACCAACACUCUCUCCUAUUUCAGAGCACUGAACAGCAAGUACAAGGUGUUCUUAACCUAAUUGAUCUUGCUGGAAGUGAGCGACUUUCAAGGAGCGGGGCAACCGGAGACCGGUUAAAGGAGACACAGGUUUUUGCUUUUAAAAUACGGUCUUCUAAGUUAUUCCCAUAAAUUUUUUGGACUUUCCCUCUAAUCUUUGUUGUUUCCUUCAACAGGCUAUAAACAAAAGCUUGUCUGCAUUGAGUGAUGUUAUAUUUGCAUUGGCAAAGAAAGAGGAUCAUGUACCUUUCAGAAACUCAAAGUUAACAUAUCUGCUCCAGGUUAGAUAACAUUUUUACUUCUGAAUCAUUAUGCAAAUAAUCUGUCUAUCUAGCUCUUUCUAAUUAAGGAGAAUCAUUUUUAAACAGCCAUGUUUAGGAGGGGACUCAAAGACCUUAAUGUUUGUGAACAUAUCACCUGAUCCAUCUUCAACUGGAGAGUCUCUAUGCUCUCUUCGGUUUGCUGCUAGAGUUAAUGCAUGUGAGAUUGGAAUACCUCGCAGACAAACUUCCGCAAAACUCCUCGACUCUCGCCUAAGUUACGGUUAACACUGGUGGUUCGAGUCUCUCUUUCAUCUGUAUAACAACAACAACAUUUGUUUUAGAGGUUUGUAAUUUCUGAUUGUGGUUUUGACUUAUAUUUUUCUGUACCAAGCUCGAUGGUUCAUAUGAAUCGGGUACUUUACCAAGCUUGCUGUCUUGGCAAUGUUGUGUGAGGAAAUCUCAAAUCUCCCUGAUUGGCAUUUUUAGAGCUUUUUCGGUUAUGUAAUUGUCUUUUAGGACAUAACUAAAUAAGUUUUUGCUUUGUUUCACAUAGUUACAAGUUACAACAUAACAUUACUGGAACUAAUUGUUGAAGUCAACGAGGAUAAACUAUAGUGAUGGAAGAAUCGUCAACAGACAAAGGCAAAGACUUGCUUGUUGCAGAGUGAUCAGAAGCAGAACCUCCUGAGCGUGGAUCUCUAGAGUCUUUCAUGGUUCGAAGAAGAAACCCAGAUCGCUUUGGAAUCGGUAAAGUAACAGUGAAGCUGUUCAUCAUCACAAGAAUGUCAUCCAUUGAAGGUCUCUCUGAAGAAUCUUCUUGAACACAUAACAAAGCAAUGUGAAUGCAUCUGAUCACUUCAUUUGUCUGAAAAUUCCCUCUCAUUGCUUCAUCUACUAGCUCCAGUGGUGAAUUCUCCACCCAUAGCUUCCACACCUGCAGAUAUUUAUAAUGUUUCAGAAAACAGUAUUUAAAAAGAGUUUUUGAUUGGUUAUAAAACAGUACUUACGUAGGUCACUAAAUCUCCAAGACCAUCUUCUUCAUAGAAGCUACUGUUUUUCUUGCCGGUUAUGAGUUCAAGAACCAAGACUCCGAAGCUAUAGACAUCCGAUUUCACCGAGUAUUUCCCGUGGAUCGCAUACUCAGGAGACAUAUAACCACUAAAGAGAGAACUUGUUUAAUCAUAAUGGGAAAUUGAAUAACUCAUUGAAGUGUCAAGAUCACAAGAGGAAGAAACAACUUACUAUGUACCAACGAUUCUUUUAGUAUUGGCUUGAGUUUGAUCAACACCAAAGAUCCUCGCCAUACCGAAAUCUGAGAUCUUCGGAUGCAUGUCUGCAUCUAAGAGUAUGUUACUAGCUUUAAGGUCACGGUGAAUGAUCGUUAGCCGAGAAUCUCGAUGUAAAUAUAGUAUUCCUCGAGCUAUCCCUUCAAUGAUCUUGUACCUUCUUUGCCAAUCCAAAACUCUUCUCUUCUCAUUAUCUACAAACAAAAAGAAAACAAUCUGAUUAAUCCGAAAACCGAUAUUUUCUUUAGAGGAAUGAGUGAUGAUUUGUUAUACCGAAAAGGAAGUAGUCGAGGCUUUUGUUAGGAACAAACUCAUAGACAAGUAUUUUCUCUUCUCCAUCUAAGCAAUAUCCCAAGAGCUUAGCUAGAUUCCUGUGUUGUAGCUUUGCGACCACAUCAACUUCGUUCUUGAAUUCUUCAGCUCCUUGUGUCGAUCCUUGAGAUAGUCUCUUUAUUGCUACUGUUUCUCCAGUUAUAAGCUGACCCUGAAUGAGUUUUACACAGAAGCAUUAAACCUUUUUUGUUUUGUUAAAGUAUGACUAUAUGAUCACAAGUCACAAGACUUAGUUACCUUAUAAACUUCACCAAAUCCACCAUGACCAAGCUUGUUACUUUCUGAGAACUUAUUUGUCGCUGCUUCGAUUGCGCUAAACUGGAAUUGCAGUGUUUCUGUUGACGUAAUACCAUCUUCAUCUACAUUAAGAAAGGAAAAUUCUCAAGAAAGUUUCAACAAAUUAGACUAGAAAAUGGCAAAACUCGCUCAAUUCUGUUUUGGUUUUACCUAAAUCCUCUGUUUCAGCACUGAGCUUAUUAUUCCUUCUUCUUGCUAGUAACCAACACAUAGCACCAAGAAGUAACACACAGACAGAAACCGGUACAGCGAUCGCGGUAACUAUAACUGUCAAGUUCUUGCCUUUACCUAAACACAAUUUCAAAAACAUAUGAAACAAAACAACCUUUUUACUAGAUUAUGUUCUAUGAGUUUCAAGAUUUUUAACCUUUUUCUGAAGGAAUAUUCAGUGGUGGUGCAGUCACCGUUGACGAAGGAGGAGGAGCCAUCGGAGCCGCAGCUAUAGUUUCAUUGUAAAAUGGAUAAAGCUCAUAUCUGAAGCUACAACUCGGAGCGAUUACUCUCCCGCCAACGCUUCGAUCACAACAUCUCGGCAAGUAAUUAAUGACUUGUCUCAAACAGCUCUCACAAUCUUGAUUAGUCAAAUCCGGAGUGCACUGCACAAGGCUAUAGAUUGUCUGAAAAACCGUGAAAUUGGCUUUCUCCGUAGCGAACUUUCUCGAGCUCAAAGCGGCUUUCACCGCAACAUCUAUGAGCAGAGCAGGCAAAGACUCGUUGAAUCUGCUCACUUGAUUCUCUGUGAUGUUUUGCUUGUUCGUCAAGAAAACACCAGGUCUAAUUCUCAUUUGCCCUACGAUGCUUUGAUUAGAGUAUCUUACCAUACACUCAUCGUACCAAAUCACUGCCACUUUCUCUCUUGGACACCUUUGGAGCGUUUCGUUGGCUGCAAACGCGACACAGUCACGGCAGAUUUCGGCUGAGACAUCUCCACGGCAGAGAAAAACACCAUAGACUCUGUUGCUAUCGUUCUCUUCACCAGCGGCUGCGUUAUCAAAAAGCGAUGCAUAAGCUGCGUUUGGAGAGGAGAGAGAUGAAAGAACAGUUCGGAGAUUGGUUAAGUAACUGCUGUUUCUUGAGUACGUUGUUGUGUUUGGACAUAUGUGGUAGAGAUAAGUUGGAUCUGAAGUAACUGUCUUCAAGAUCAUAAACAAGAAAACUGAGAACAGAGAAACAGAGGAUUUGAAACAAGAAGACAUGUUUUUGUUUUCUUUGCUCUUCUUCUUCUUUGAGUUUCUUAAUAUAAUCUUCAUUGGAAUUAGUGGGAUUCAAAGUCUAAUUACUACAGUUAGUCAUUGAUAAUUAAGAUUGUUUAAAUCAAAUUAUUAUGUUCAAACUUCAAUAUUCCAUAGGUUAGGCAGGCCUGUCUAGAUAAUGAAAUUAAAAUGUGCUGUUGUAAUCAUUGACAUAAUAAUAUGAUUAAAAAACAUAUUUGGUCAAAGGUUUCGGGGAAUCAUAAAAUUUAUAAAUUCAUCAAAAUAGUUUUUUUUUGUCAUCAGAUUUUAUUUAGAACUCAUAAUAGCCAAUCCUGAGUAACAUUGUUUACAAAAGUGAUAUGAAGCGGUUUCAAGAUUGUUUGUUGAGUAUAAAAUAUUACAUGGAAAUGUUGAUUUUUUAGUUCUAAUUUGUUUUGUUAAAAGAAAGAGUUUAAAGCUUUGGAGGGAAAAAAAAAAAAGCAAGUUCAAAGUUUUUUUUUUUUUGGUCGUGUCGCUAAAUUUGUUCAGUUUCUUCUGAAUCUCUAUAAAUUUUGUUGACUAUGGCAAAUAGUUUGCGAACAUUGUUCUCAGUGUCCACUCAUGGUGUCUUUUUGAACAAGCGGUCUAGGUUUUUCUCUAGUAGCCGAAAUUUAAGGGUUUGCUCUCAUCAAUCAACUGAAUCCGUCACUGUUAAUGUUUCUCCACAUAACGGUUAGUCUUGUUAAGAAUUUGUACCUUUAAAGUUUUGACUUUUGUUUGCAUUUAUCUUAUCAAGUUAUCGUGUACGCAAGGUGUUUGUUGGAAUGCCUCUGAGAAUAUGCAGUGAAAUUCCUAGAUUCGUAUCAGUUUCGUGUAUAAGGUCUGACAUGUGUGGUAUUAUGAUGCUUGGGAAAGAUGUUCAUGAUCUGUAUAUGAUUUAACAGCAUUGUGAUGAACGAAUAUUGAUGACAAUUGUUGCAUGAAACAUUUUACGCUAUUAAAGAGUCCGGAUUGUGAUAUUUAGAUGGUGGAAAGAUGUUAUAUGUGUAAAGGUGGUGACUAUUCUAUGUAAAUGAUUGUUGCUGAUACUUCUUGUGUUUUGUUGUAACUGUCAAGAUUAGAGACAAGUAGUGGAGGUAAUGUUGAGAAAGGUUUUCUAAGAUGGCGAAACGGAGGAGGAAUGUACCAUCGUUCGGCCCUAAUUGAUUCCUCGGCUCUGGUUGAGUUUGGAGCAGUGGUUCACCAAGAAGCUAUAUUGGGAGCAGAGGUUCAUAUAGGAUCCAACACUGUAAUUGGAUCAUCAGUCAAAAUUGGCCCUUCUACAAAGAUCGGGUAACGGUUUUGCUUAAUGUCUUAUACAUGUUUUUGAAGAGAAUCUUGAAAGAAUCUAUACUUGUCUACAGGUAUAAUGUUUCAGUCAGCAAUUGUAGUAUUGGUGAUUUAUGUGUCAUCCAUAAUGGAGUCUGCAUUGGUCAAGAUGGUAUGGACCAAGUCCAUGUUUUCUUCUUUAUCUUCUGAGAAUUGGCAUUGAAUUGAGAUUGGUUUUUAACUGUUCAGGAUUUGGGUUUUACGUGGAUGACAACGGAAACAUGGUGAAGAAGCCUCAAGUAAGCACACCUAGAUUGCUCUCUUGAAUCUGGAUAACAAUUGUGCAUCACUUUUAUCCUUUGUUCUGUUUCUUGCUCUCCCUAGACUUUAAAUGUGAAGAUAGGGAAUCGUGUGGAAAUCGGAGCAAACACAUGCAUUGAUCGGGGCAGGUAACAGAAUAUUUCAAGAACUAGUUCCCUGUAAAGCUCUUUUCUAGCUCCAUAUCCUUUACUAUUUAUGCAGCUGGAGAGAUACCGUGAUCGGGGAUGAUACUAAGAUAGACAACUUAGUUCAGGUGUCUCUUCGAUUCUAUCUUGCAACUCCCCCAUAGAUCACAAGUAAAUGACAACUGAGAUGCUAUUCUGUUUACUUAAAUAUUGCAGAUAGGUCACAAUGUGAUUAUUGGCAAAUGUUGCUUGUUCUGUGGCCAAGUAGGCAUAGCUGGAUCAGCAGAGUAAAUGCUUCUAAUCCCAGCAACCAAAUAACUAUUAUGUUCCGUUGAUUGAAACUAUAAGCUUCUCGUCUUUUCGACAAUUAUUUUUUGUAGGAUUGGUGACUUUGUAGCACUAGGAGGACGAGUAGCUGUUCGAGACCAUGUCUCCAUUGUAUCCAAGGUAAAAAAAUAGAAACAUAAUUGGAGUAAUGAAAUUGUGCAGUGCUUCAUCUAAAUCCGUUUUUGGUUUCCGACUAUAGGUUCGACUUGCUGCUAAUAGUUGUGUUACUAAAAACAUUACGGAACCAGGGGAUUACGGCGGUUUUCCUGCUGUAAGCAUCUCUCUUUCUCUUCGAUUGAGUCUUCACUUCCAUCUGAUUCCAAGAUCCCAAGUUUGCUUUGAUUUUUUAUCAUAAGCCAGUAUAAAAAAACAGAGCCGGACUCUGCUUUUGCUUCCGAUAAACAUUGUUUCAUCUUACAAAAAAUUCUUAUUCAGGUCCCAAUUCAUCAAUGGAGAAGGCAAAUUGUUGAAGCUCAGAUUUCGAGCAAGAGGAAACCAUAACUUAUUCUGUUUGCCAGACUCAAGAAGACUGAGGUAAUAGAUUGAACUAUCUGCCAAUUGCUUUGCGUUUUUACUUUUACCAAAUGAUUUCUUUGAUAUGUUUAACUCAAAGAUCAUACAUUUAAUGAGAAAAACCAAACUCCCAAAUCCAAGUUACAAAACGUAAAGAAAGCAAAAUCAUUCAAAAGGAAAGUAAAAUAUAAAGAGAAUAGCAAAUAACAAACCAAUCAAUCUUUCUAAGUGAAGUAGACUGGACACCGUUUAUGGUUAAACUUGGGCAAGAUCAACCCGUCUCUUCCAACCACGAUGUUGCAAUUAGCGUGCAUCCUAUGAUGCUUACUGAUCCACCUAUGGAGUUUAAACCGAAUAGUCGAAACUAUAUCGAGCCUGAAACCCACGGUUCCUUGAGCCCGAUCAUUACUAAACUCGGUCCAGCGGUUACUGUUUACCGUUAAGGAAGCUCCUGUAAGCGUCCCGGUCACAAUUGUUGUGUUAGUCGGUUGCUGGAAAAACGGGUUUAGCAAUGGGAUCAAUCCGACCCGUUGAUCUUUGUAGUAAAUGGAACCUUCCAUGGAAUCAAAGUAAACACCCAUAUGUUGGUUAGGGUUAAGUAUGGUUACAUUGAAAGCAAUUCUUGCGUUUUCGACUCCGGUAGGCUGGUCUAGACCUUGUACCACGAAGUCUUGGAUAUGGAACCGAGGUCUAUGAGGGCGUAAACUGAGCCAAAGUAUGAAAGCAAUGACGCCUACAAAGAACAAAACCAAGAGAAACAUUGCGCAGAUGAAUUUCGAUAUCCGGGUUGAGAGGCUUUCUCUGACACGGUGAGCGUAGUAGCUAGCGGAAUGGUGACGCUUCAUGGGUUGGGCUCGGGGUACGGGACUGGUGCGGAUCGGGAUAGUUGUUCGGUCUGGUGUCAUUGUGCUUUGAUGAUUUCCUGGCAAAAAAAACUAUGGAGAUUUUGAGCAUGAAAGUUUUGGAGUGUAGGAGUUAUGUAUGAAAGAAGAAAAGUAAAUAGUUCUUGAAGUGUUUGGAGAAGAAAGGAAUCAGAUUACGUAAAGUGAACACGUUGUAUUGGUAACUUUUGUGUUUUUUCUUCAUCGUAUUUUUGAUUAUUUACAAGAGAAUCGUAUAAUACAACCUAUUCAAGCUAUUAUAGAUUAUUUAAAUAUAUAUGAGGUUUUAAUUCUUUAUUGUAUUCCAUUUCCAACGGUGCUCGCAGUGGACAUGCAAGAUGCAACUAUGUCUGGGCAAAUAAAUUAAACCGAAUGUAUCGAACUAAAAUCGAAAUAAAAAUAACCGAAUAGAAUCAAAAAUUGGAAACUAAUCGAAUGGAUACUAAAUUCUAUAACCGAAAUAACCGAAACAGAAUGGAUAUAAACCUAAAUAUUUUGGGUAACCAAAAAUAUCCUAAAUAUAAAUAUAUUUUCAAAAAUAUUAGUUAUUUCUAGACUUAAUAAUUAAAAUACUUGAGAAUAUAUAUAAAAUAGUAAAAAUACUUGAAAAUAUCUAAAAUAUAUCCGAAAAUAUCCAAAAAUAACCGAAAUAUCCGAAAUAUUUAAAGCAAAAUAACCGAAUGAAUACUAAAUUUUAAAACCAAAAACACCGAAACCGAACCAAGCUUUCAAAAUAACCGAAUGGAUACUAAACUUUAGAACCGAAAAACCGAUAACCGAAUGGAUAUAACCGAAACCGAAUGGAUAACCGAAUGGAUAACCGAAUGCCUAUGUAUUUUAAAAUCCAAGAAGGCUCAAUAGGGCCAGGCCCAAACAUUAUGGGCUGGUUUUGGUUUUAGACUUUUUCAGAUUUAGUGAAUCUUCUGAAAAACCAUUCCCAAAAACAAAAUAGAAAGUAAGAUAGCUAAUACAUUACAUUAUUCUUUAGUUAAGUCAAUUGACUAAAAGAGAGAUCUAAACAAUUAUAAUUUGAGUCUAGAUUUUCCACAGAUAUUUUGUAUUUUUACUAUUCUCACGAUUGUAAAUAUCAAAAACCCAUGGAAAUAGGUCGUUUAGUUAACACUUACCACAUAAUGCGGAAACGUUAGUUACUAAAAUCCAAAGUUGAUAGCAUCUUCUCUCAUUUCACCGUCUUCGUUAGCAGUCUCCAUUGAUCUUGAAACACGUACCAUUGAUACGAUUAUGGAUGUGUUCUUCGAGACUCGGAGUGGUUCCACAUUCGAGAUUGAAUUAGGUUAUUGGGAUACAGUGUUGGAGAUCAAACAAAAGAUCGAGAAGUAUCAACGUAUCCCAGUUUCCAAACAAACCCUUUUAUUCCAAGGCAAUGUUCUUCAAGAUCAUCUUGAUAUCGAACAAUGUGUGAUCCUUAACCACUCUCGUAUCCAACUUUCCAUCUCUUCUCCCGACCAAAGCCGUAACAACAUUCAAGUGUUCAAAACCGAGCAAUUCCCACAGUCAAAUUCAACAGAACAGACCAGUAACGGUCAUCAUGAAUCAACAGUGAUGAUCCCAAUGAGCAACAACAACAACAACAACAACCCGAAGAAGCUGAGAGUAAUGGUGUUGCCGAAAUCCGGGACUAGGAAGAUUCCGGUGGACGUGAACGCAGGGGAUAAUGUUGGAGAGCUGAGGAAAGAGUUGGCUAAGAUUCAACAGAGGUUUCAGUUAAGUCUGCCUCAAGAAGGCUAUUUCUUUAUCUAUAAACAGAAUGUAAUGGAUGAAAACAGGUCAUUCCGGUGGCACCGUGUUGAUCAAGGCGACACAAUUGAGAUUUUCAACGGAAGUGUUUCCGGUGGCUCUUAAUACCCUAUAAUUUCGAAGCUCAAGUCUUUGCAAUCUCCUCAUUUCUUGUAGCUUACAGUCUUUUUUUUUUUAAGUUUCUUGCUUUCUUCUAAAUUGUAUUUUCGUCUCAGAGCUUUCUACAAAUAUGCUUAAGAAGAUCUAUGACAAGUAAUUUUAGUAUUUUACCAAAAAAUAAUAACGAGCUGAAAAAGAGAAACUUGUGUGUUAUUGACUUACCUCUUGACAACAAAAAAAGGGAUCAGAUCAUUCUCCAAAUUAACUUUCCAACCGGGUAAUCUAAAUAACAUUUUAAAAAUUUCUGGAUAAUCUGGCAUAUAACAAGAUGUAUAAAUAAGAUCAGAAGUUUAUAAUAAGAUGUCAAAAAAAAAAAAAAAAAAACAUGUAUAAUGCUUAAAUUAACGAGGCUUUCAUUGACUUAAGAAACACGUAAUCUAUAAGGUUUAUUUGGGCCAAGCCCAAAUAAAGUCCAUUUGAUACGUGAAUUGAUAUAAAACUAGAUUAUGCAGUUCAUCAGACUCUCCAUUUGAUCUUGAAACACCAUUGAUACAAUUAUGGAUGUGUUCUUCGAGACUCAGGAUGGCUACUAUCAACAGUAUUCAGAUAAAGCCUCCAAACAGAGUAGAAGGUUUCUCUGGCAAAUGUCAAUACACUGCCGUUUCAUCUAAUGCAGCAAAGAAACAAAUGAAAAUGGGCUUCGCAGUACAUAAGCCCAAGACACAAAUAUGGAGGCAACGGUCACUCAGCUUCAAAUGUUCAAGAGUCUGGAAGCUUCCCAAGUAAUGACAUAAACGGAGCUGGCAGUACGGUAAAGACAUUUACCCUCAAGCUGGAGAAUCAGUUUCUAGCCCUUGAUUGUGAGAACUCAACUUGAUGAUGACACAUGUCUUGUCUCCUUAGGGUUUAGCUAAGUCUCAGUCUUUGUAUUUAAGCAAGAACAAUCUCCUCUUGUAAAGUUAAGCAAACUAUCAAUGAAAACUUAAAAGGAUUGAUUUUGUCUUCAGCUACAAGUUCGAGAUUGAAUUGGGUUACUGGGAUACAGUGUUAGAAAUCAAACAGAAGAUCGAGAAGUAUCAACGUAUCCUUGUUUACAGACAAACCCUUUUCUUCCAAGGCAAUGUUCUUCAAGAUCAUCUUGAUAUCGAACAAUGUGUGAUCCUUAACCACUCUCUUCUCAAAGUAUUCGUAGAUCCUUACCGUAACCCUAAUCACGACAACGAUCAAAUGCUUCAAACCGAGGAAUCUCCACCGUUAAACUCAGCCAAAGAGAUCGUUAACGUUCAAGAUUCGCCAAUUAUGGUGAGAAGCAAUAUGAAAGUCGCGACGAGCAUAAAGGUUGAGAACAAUAAUAACAACAAUGAUCAGUGCUUCGAACCAAGCAAUCUCCAGCGUCGUUAACACUCAAUAUUCCCCUUUGAAGCUUGUGAAGGUUGAAGCAUCGAAAUAUUUGGAUAAUCUCCAAAUAUCUUUCAUUAGUAUCUACAAUAUAUUUGUUAUAACAAAAUAUUUUUGUUAUAAGUUUAGAUAAUUAUAUAAGACUAUAUUAGAGUUUAUCUAGGUUUUGGUUUUCUUUUUUUUUUAAUUAAUGAUCAAUGGUUUUUAUAAAAUUAUUUUUAGAGUUUAUCUAGGUUUUAGCUUAGACAAUAAUCAUUGUUUCAUGCAAUUGUUGUUUAAUUGAGGUUUUGUAAAUGAGCUUAAAGUCAUUCGUAGUGGAACGAUACAACUAUGAUUUUUCGAACAUCUUACACAUGCAUGGGCUCUGUAACCAUGUGGCUUAAGUCACAAUUUAGGAUUAAGAAAAAACUAUGUAGCAAAAUUGUACUUUUCCAUACGUAGAACCAAAAUACAACAAAAAAGUUAUGUGGAUUUUAUCUUGGAAAAAAUGUUGUUUUAUAUGCGAACUUUAAAAUAAUGGCCAUUUAAUACAUAAAUUUUUUGUAUGAUCAAACAAAAUAUGAUAAAAAUGUUGACCGGUUAUUUCACACAAAUGUUAUAGUUGACCAGGCCAAAAUCCCCAUAACGUUAUCUUGUAGUAACGGAUGCGAUAACUCUGUUAGCACAUGUUAAUUAGUUUCCGUUAAUACCCAAAACGACGCCGUUUCAUUUAAAUCGAAACAUCAAAAUUUCCAAAUCGAUUUUGAAAUCCCUAAAUUCUAAAAUUAAAAUCAAAUCCCUAAUUCCUAAAUUCUAAAGACCAAAUCCUUAAAUGGCCUUCUUUUUGACGUUCCUCCAUGUUCAUCAUCGAUCUUGCUCCUCCUCCUUCACAAAUUAAAACGAACAACUGCUGUCAAUAGUCGAAUGUGGUUAUUCAUAUUCAAAUUGGUUCUCAUGUGUGUGUGUUCCUAACAUUUUAUACACAAGAGACAACAAAACAAAACAAAUAAAAAACAAUGGAAAUUCACCUAAAAUUAAUCAGUGUUCCAACAUGAUGAAAUACAAUUAUGAGAGUGAGGAAAAAACCUUGGAAGAACGGGAUUGAGAUUUCCAAAGAAGAACAUGUUGUUGCCAUGUGAUGCAGAUGGAAACCAAAAAUUGUUUGCAAAAAAAAAAAAAGGAAACACAAAGAAGGAGGAAGCAGAGAUAGCGAGAAGAUGAUUAAGAAGAUGGAAAGAAGUAGGAAGGAUUAGAAAAUCAUGUUCAUAGUAAUCAUAACCUUUAGCUUUUCCGAUCAAUUCUCAAGAUAAUUUCAAAGUAGCUAGGAACUAGGGAUUUGAUUUUUAGAAUUUAGGGAUUUCAAAAAUCGAUUUGGAAAUUUUGAUGUUUCGAUUUUAUUGAAACGGCGUCGUUUUAGGCAUUAAAGAAAACUAAUUAACAUGUGCUAACAGAGUUAUCGCGUCCGUUAAUGCAAGAUAACGUCAUGGAGAUUUUGCCCUGGUCAACUAUAACAUUUGUGUGAAAUAACCGGUCAACAUUUUUAUCAUAUUUUAUUUGACCAUACAAAAAGUUUAUGUAUUAAAUGGCCAUUUUUUUAAAGUUCGCAUAUAAAACAACAUUUUUUUCAUUUUAUCUUAUUUGAAAGUUUAACGACCAUCAUUAUUGGUAUCUUCAUCUACCUCAAAAGUGUCUUAUUUAAGAUACUUUUGUUAGUUAUAAGACAUGUCUCUUAACAUAAGAGUUGUUUUAAGAGACCAUUAAUAACGAUGCUCUCUCCUCUAUUCUUAUAGCUUUCAGUGUUUCUUGAAGUCAACUCCAUCACUCAAAGUUUAUUUUUUGUUUCACAGCUAAAAGCUCAUAAUUGGUUACACGUUUAUAUAAAUAUUUUUUUAUUAUAUAAAAUACUUAAUUUUUCCCAAAUAAGAUGAAAAAUAUCAAAAUAUUAUUCAUAUAUUUCAUUUCAUUCAUUGUGAGGUAGAUGAAGUAGAAAAAAAAAUUAAGCUAAUUUUGAAUACACUAAAAUAAAGAUGAACAAAUUAGAUAAGCAUCGUGACGUGUUGCUUUCAGAGUGAUUUUCUACCAUUUAAAAUAUUACCCAAAUGCGUGUUCAAAAAAAAUAAAAUUAUUACCCAAAUUCUACUAUAGACUAUUUACAUAUUUUGGUAUUAGUUUUAAUACAUACAUAUAUCACACAAAUUAAAAACAAAUUUAUAACUAAAAAGUAAAUAAUUAGUCAACUAACUUGCAUAUUUAUAUUUAACAACUAAUAUGAGAGCUUUGUCUAUUUUAUUUCAUUGACUUAAGAAGAAACACGUAAAGCAAGAAGGUAUAUAUGGGCCAAUCCUAAAUGAGUGAAAAUAUGAAACCAGAGUAAAACUUUAUUUACAAAACAAUCACUUUCUCUGUCUCCACUCUCUUUUCUUCAUCAUUCUCUCCAUUGAUCUUGAAACUCCAUUAAUACGAUUAUGGAUGUGUUCUUCGAGACUCAGAGUGGCGACAAGUUCGAGAUUGAAUUGGGUUAUUGGGAUACAAUGUUGGAGAUCAAAGAGAAGAUCGAGAAGUAUCAAUGUAUCCCUGUUUCUAAACAAACCCUAAUCUUCCAAGGAGUUGUUCUUCAAGAUCAUCUUGAUAUCAAACAAUGUGUGAUCCUCAACCACUCUCAUAUCCAGAUCUUCGUUGAACCUAACCCUAACCCUAAUCCCAACAACGCUCAAGUGCUUCAAACCGAUAUAUCUUCACCUUUAAACUCAUUCAUAGAUAUCGAUAACUUUCUAGAUUCCCCUGUUUCGACGAGCGUCAAGUUUGGGAUCAACAACGACGAUCACGUGCUUCAACCGGAGAAAUCUACACCGUUUAACUCAUCCAAAGAGAUCGAUUACUUUCAAGAAUACCCUAUUUCAACGAGCAUGGAGCUUGUAAGCAACAACAGUGAUCAAGUGCCUCAACCGGAGAAAUCUACACCGUUUAACUCAUACGAAGAGAUCGAUUACAUUCAAGACUACCCUGUUUCAACGAGCAUGGAGCUUGUAAGCAACAACAGUGAUCAAGUGCCUCCACCGGAGAAGUCUCCACCGUUAAACUCAUCCAAAGAGAUCGAUUACUUUCAAGAAUACCCUGUUUCAACGAGCAUGGAGCUUGUAAGCAACAACAUUGAUCAAGUGCCUCAACCGGAGAAGUCUCCACCGUUAAACUCAUCCAAAGAGAUCGAUUACUUUCAAGAAUACCCUGUUUCAACGAGUAUGGAGCUUGUAAGCAACAACAAUGAUCAAGUGCCUCAACCGGAGAAAUCUCCACUGUUAAACUCAUUCAAAGAUAUCGCCAACACUCAAGGUCCGUCUGUGAAGCGUAUAAAAUUGGGAGGCAUCAACAACAGUCACCAAGAUUCGACUAUGAGGGUUAAUGACUUAAGUACCCUAAUCUAACACAGCUAAACUUGGUUUAAGCCUAUUACAAUACUAUAUGGCCCAUGACCCAUCUUCUUCCUUAUUACCUUGUAAAAUGAUCCAUUGCUUUUUCUUUUAAAUGAAAUUGACUCUAAAUUUCAUAAGAAUAUGGGUGUUUCAUACUCUUAUAACCUAGAUUCUUAUGUAAACCUCAAGUAGAAUCUGAUUUGGUGUUGUGGCUGCGUACAAACUUUUAUGAUCUUGAAAUUAGGGUUUUUCUAUGCAAAUCCAUAUGAAAUAUACAGAUAUAUCCUUAGUAAUUGAAUCAUGAUGUUGUGGCGGCGAUAUAACUUUUAUCAUCUUGAAAUUAGGGUUUUGUUACAAAAAUUUAUAUGAAAUUUACAUAUAUACCCUUAGUAUAAUUUGAAUUAGUGAUAUAGUACAAACCUAAAAACUUUUCUAAAGUUCUAUUUUUUUUAUUAAAUUAUGAUUUUUGACGAAUUUUAUUUUUUUCCAAUGAAUGUGGUUCUUUAGCUGAAAACUAAUAUAAAAAUUAGACUAAAAUAUGAACCAAUACAUAGGAGAAAACAGAGAGAAAGCAGAGGCCUUUAUCGAGGAGAGCUAAGGUGGUCCGUGGCAAACCAUAAGGUGAGCCCUUCGUCUUGUCUAUGAGUUUUGUUAAAUGAGGGGAAGAGAUGGAAUUUUCUCCACAAAAAUCACCCAAUAUUUCUGUGGAGAUUAUGAUAUUUUUACAUCUUCAGUAAGAAAAAAAUUUAAAAUCAUCUUUCUACAACAUCAAUGGUAAAAUACUAUAAUUUUUACCACUUCUAAAACUUCAGAAAGAGAUGAUAACUUGACUUGAGUAAAAAAGAAAGAAAAAGGAAAAAAAAAGCAGAGUCCUAAGAUUAUGGUGCGUUCAUCAUUUACCUUUUUUCAAAUCGAUUCACUCACAUCAGAUAUAAUAAGGAAGUAGUGAUUUUAAUCACUACAGUAGAUUAUUUUCUUCUCUAUCUAACAAGGCCAACAAUAAGUCAAUAACACAAUAAAAUCGGAAACUUGAAUAACAAGUUACAUUUAAAUCACAAAGAGGGAAAACCAACCUAAACAAAGAACAAAGAAGAAUUGCUUACUUUACACAACCGUUGGAUCAUAUUGGUAAAAGGAACUAACGACGGUGAAGAUUCAGUGACGAGGCUUUCAUUGACUAUAAAAUGUCCCAUAUUCAGUGACGAUACUUUUCUCGCUCUUCACUUUCUUCUUCAUCAAUCUCUCCAUUGAUCUUGAAACACCAUUGACAGAAUUAUGGAUGUGUACUUCGAAACUCAGAAUGGCAGAAAGUUUUGCAUUGAAUUAGGUUACUGGGACACAGUGUUGGAGAUCAAAAAGAAGAUCGAGAAGUAUCAACGUAUCCCUGUUCCCAAUCAAACCCUUUUCUUCGGCAAUGCUCUUGAAGACCAUCUUGAUAUCGGUCAAUGCAAGAUUCUCCAAAACUCUCAUGUCGUACUCUUCGUCCUUCCAGACCCUAAUGACAACAACGAUCAAGUUCUUCAAACGGAGGAGCAACCUCCUAUAAUCGGAGAUCUCAUUUACGGUGAGGAUUUGCCUUUGACAACUGAAGUUGUUUUGAAUAUUCGACCUUUUUGCCCAGUUCAAGAUUCUCCGGUGAGAAACAACGAUCAAUCUCCACCGUCAGACGCAGCAAAAGAUAUCAUCAAAGGUCAUCAAGAUUCGCCGGUGAGAAACAACGAGCAAACUCCACCGUCAGACUCGGUUAAAGAGAACACUAACAUUCAAGAUUCGCCUGUGGGGAAGAUAAUACUAACAUUACGGGUGAUGCCAUAUUCCGGCAAGAUUAAAGCUGCGAAGAAUCUUCAUUUUAUUACGUACAAGACGUAUAGGGUGAAAAUGCUGAGACAAGAGUUGGUUCAGAAUGAACUAAGGGAUCAUUUAGAUCGGCCUCAAGAUGGUGAUUAUUUCUUCGUACACAAAGGGAGAGUAUUGAACGAAGAUCAGUCAUUCGAGUGGAACAGUGUUGCUCACACUGAUAUUGUUGAGAUCGUUCCCGAUCCGUGGCUCUAUUAGGUCAAAUUCAAGACUUUUGGUUUUAUUAGUUUUUUCUUUUAGGGUUUAUAGUCUUUCUUGAAGUUUCUUGCUUUGUGCAAAGUUUGCUUUUGGUUUCACAACUUUCUUCAUAUAUUCUAAGACAUGUAAUUACCUACAAAGAAUUUUGAAAUGAAAAUUGUUCUUAUUGAAUAAUGAAGAUGAAUUAAGCUAAGUUUGUAGAAUUGAUAUGCGAAUUGGAAACUGGAGAAAGAGAACAGAUACAUUCGAAUUUUUAUCCUUUUUUAAAAACAUUACGUUGGAUAAUUUUAGUAAGAUUUAGAUUCUUCGAGGAGGCUAUUGACUUAGGGAACACGUAACCGAGAAGGUUAAUAUGGGCUAAGCCCAAGUGAGUUCUAUUUAAUACGUUCAUUAAAUGAUAUAAAUACUAAACAAAUUCUCUACAAAACAAUCACUUUAAUUAUCUCUCUUUUUCUUCAUCCGUUUCUAUUGAUAAAGUUAUGAAGUUUCUCGUCGAGAAUCUGAAUGGUUCAUCAUUCGAACUUGAGGUUGAUUACAGGGAUACACUGUUAGUGGUCAAACAAAAGAUCGAGAGGUCUCAACAUAUUCCUGUUUCCAAACAAACCCUUAUCGUCGACGGCAUUGUUAUUCUUCGAGAGGAUCUUACUGUCGAACAAUGCCAGAUCGUCCCCACUUCUGAUAUCCAACUCGAAGUCUCAUCUGACGAUGAUAACCCUAAUCACAACGACUGCGAUCAAAAGCCGCAAACCGAGCAAUCUCCAGCACUACCAUUGGUUUCAGCGGAAGAGUACUUUGAGAGACAAGAUUGGCCUUUGACAGCAGAAGAGCUGAGACAGAUUUAUAGUUAUCGGCCUGAGCAUGAAGGUUGAGAGCAACCACAACGAUGAUCAAACCGAGCAAUAUCCACCGUCGUCGUUGCGAAGAUGAGGCUUGACGAGAUCUUUGGAAACUUUUCAUUAUUAUCUUUGGAAAUUUUUCAUUAUUAUCUUCAAUGUGUUUACUAUUUUUUUUAAGUUAGUUUAGAUAAUUAUAGAUUAUUUACAUUUUACCUAAGGUUUUGGUUUCUAUUUUCUUAAUAAAUAGCUCAUUAUUUCCCAUUAUUUCAUGAAGUUAUUUGUUUAGUUGAGAUUUUAUAAAAAGGGAUAAUAAACUAAUAAGCAUACUAGAUUGUAACUCGUGUUGGUAGUAGAAUUUUAAUUUUUAAAUAUUUAUUUAAAGUUGGAUCAUUGUUUGUUUUAUAAUACAGCUUUAAUCAAUCCAUACAUAAUACAAAACAAAGAAACUUAGACCAUGCACAUAGUUGGUAUUCAUAAAGUAUCAUAACAUUUUUUACUAUUAAUUUUAAUGUUUAUUUAUUGUUUGAGAAUUUUUAUAAUACUGAUAAUAAAUCUGUUUUCAGUGAUGAGAUCCGUAAUGAUAUCAUUGAAAAAAAAUAUUUGCAAAAUCGAAAAUACCUGCUAGCAUCGGCCACUACAACGAUACCGGAGACAGUCCGAUUGAAGAGAACAGUUAAAAGAGAAGCGCCUCCGACGUAGAUAUAAAGGAGUGUGAGAGAAUUUGCGAUUAAGGUUCCAAGGGAUCUGAAUUUGGAAGAUGAUUCUCGUUUUCAUUGAAAAAGAAUCGUAUCAAGAUGCACUGAAGAGGAGAGAAGAGAAGAGCAAAUGAUUUUUUUUUUCUCUCCUUUCCCACAAAAACGCGUUGCCGACUAAUCACAAGCCGCCAAAUCAUCAAAAACUAGUAUCAGAAGUAUCUCUCCAGUGAUACGACUUAGGCCCAAAUCAGUUGUUUUACCCAUUAAUUUAAUGUUUUUUGGGUUUCUGAUACUCAUAAAAAUCCUACUAUGUACAUGGUCUUACCCUUAUUCCAUUGUCGGUGAAAUCCUUCAGGGUUUAUGCUUUUCCAGUGCUAAAAUCGCAUUUCAACGAAACCGAAUCCCUAAUGAAUGAAAUCGCAUUUCAACAAGUAGAAAAAAGUGAUAAGACUAGGGCUUUUUAUUCAAAAUCUCGGUUUUGUUUAAAUUCGAACCAAAUCCGACCGGUUUACUUAAUUAAACCAAAUUGUUAACCAUCUCUCAGAAGCAAACCCCUAAUGGCCUAAUCCGAUGAUCGACCUAGUUCUCAAUGUACUUGAAGAUUUUAUAUUGCCUUCUACUCACAAUAUUAUGCAUAACCCUAUUAUAAAGAUGAUCAAUGUUUAUAUACAGCUACAAACUUUUUCAUUCUCACUUAGUCUCAUUGUAUUAUCAAUCAACGAUAUAGCUCUAUACCAUAUUGAACUCCGAUGAUCGGGGCUAUAAUCGGAGAAGAGAGAGAUGUAACAAACGUUUAUUAUCAACUCAAAAUAUUGUUACAAAGCUUAAACUAAAAUUAGUUACAUUCACAUCUUAUAUACUAUUCACAUUAAUCUUAAACCGAAAUCUAGUUAACUGGAGUUAACCAAAUUAAACCAGUCCAUCUAUCCCAAUAAUUCAUUCAUUCAUACAAUUUUAUGUACAAGGUUACCAAAAGAAUCAAAGAGAAAACACUUGGCUUAAGUAAGAGUAUAACAAUAAACAGACAAUUAAAGAAGAAUCAUAUGCAUAUAUAAUUUCACCAUGUGAUAUUGAAUUAUAUAAAAAGAAAUUUUCACAGAAGUGGACGAAAAAAGAUUUGCUCUCACCGUUUGUCAAAGUGAGAACUGGUUUUCACGUUUUGUCUUUUCAUUCAAUUUCGGACCAAAUUACCCUGGGAAAACUUAAUAAUGGCACAAACCAAACCGUGCAGCAGUUCGUAUCGGUUAAGUUGACGGCGUAAACCAAACCCUACAGCAGUUGGUUUCGGUUUAGUUGAUGCGGUUCAGUUUUGAAAAAGACAAAAAAAAAAACUGAAACGAAGAAACCCGAGAAAACGAAAAAGAGAAGAGAGUAACGGAGAGAUUUGAGAGAGAAUCAGAAAGCGAAACGAAAUUCAGUAUCCAUUGCUUCAAAAUUCGACAUAACUUCGAAUUGUUGGAUAGUUGAAUUGAGCCACUGAACUCCCACAUCCGGGGAAGUGAAAGUUACUGUUUUUCUCGGCGAAGCCAAGAGAAAGUUACUGUUUAUUCCGGCGAAAUUUGAACCUCCGGCGAGAUAGCAUCUUUAGCUAUGGCUGGGAAUAAAGCUAACGACGAAGUCCCGAGGAAGCAGCAUGGUCCAGGGAAGGAGAAGCGGGUAUUAAGAGUUUCCCCGCGGAGAAAACGCUCUGCGACAAAGGCAACGGAGGAACUGGGUUAGAAUCUCUAAUUUACCGUUUGUUGUCUUUGGGUGUAUCAGAAUUGUAAAGCUUGUUUGAUUAAGGGGUUAGAAUUUGUCGGAAUUUAGCAUAUCUUUAGGAUGAAAAAUUGAGAAGUAGAAUUGGAAAUCUCUGUUUCCGCCAAAAAUAUGAUUUUGAGUUAUAAUCUGGAAAAUGUCUGUGUACGUACACUACUUCGGUUUGCUUAACAGUAUAUGACUUUUAAUUGCAGGUAGUCCAAGUGUUGCUCCGACUGAAGAUCUUACAGUUGAAGAGUUACCACCAAGACUCUUUGCUUUAGACCGGUACCCUUCCGAGACGAAGAUGAACGCGUACUCUAAACCGGAGUACAUUUCUGACAUAGCAAAUGUACUAAAGGGGAAACCAGAGAUGCAGUUUCUUCUCGAUUCUCCAUUUGGGGAACUUUUUAAAAUACCCAAAAACAAGGCAUCUUUCAAUGCUAAGCUUGUCCUUAGACUAAUAUGCCGUAAGUUAGUGACAAAGAAGGUGAAUGAGAUGUGGAUUGUAUUCGGCGGUCAUCCAAUCAGAUUUGGAUUAAGAGAAUUUAGUAUCUUAACUGGGCUGGAAUGUGGGAAGUAUCCCAAGAAGAAAGACGUUGAUGAUGUUAUCAGUGUGAAACCUGAGUGUGAGAGUGUUUGGAAGACUCUGUUUGAUGAGAGGUUUUGGGACACGGUUCCAACAAUUGCUGAUUUGGUGAGCUGGCUGUAGGAGGAGGAAAGCAUGGAGGGGUGGAAGCAACUGGCACUAUCUCUUUUUAUUUUGGUUGACGGUGUGGUAGCGGCCCACAGUAACCCCAACAGGCCUACUUCGAAGACUGUCGAGAUGACUAAGAACCUGGAGUUCUUCUGCAAAUACCCAUGGGGAAGGGUGUCCUUUACCCGUACUUUGGGGAGGAUAGCAAAUUUCCAAACUCCUUACGAUGCUCAAUAACUAAUAAGGGGUUUACUUGUAGGGUCUUAUGCACUCCAUGGCUUCUCAUUAGCUCUCCAUCUUUUAGCUUUCGAAACAAUCCCAUCAAUUGCUAAGCUAGGACCUGAUGAUGUACCUAACAGGACAUUUGCUGAGAGGUCUAUCCAUCGUCUUGCCUCUCUGCGAGCAAUCCGGACAUCUCGCAUUUUGGAGUGUGAGGCUGCUGAUGAGGUGUGUUAAAUUGUGUAUGUACGUACAUAAUAAGUAAAUGUACAUUAUCUAUGGUUAACAUACUUAUUUGUGUAGGUUGAGGUCAACUAUAUUGUGAAACCAGCUGAUAAUGUUUGUCCUCCAUCUCUUUCAUGGGAUGAUGAAGUUGAUGAUCCAAGGGUUGAUUACAUUGAGGCACUGUUGAUAGAUGGGCACCAGUGGCAGGAGGAUGAAUGGGUUGGAGGCUAUGCUAGAGUACCAAAGCAGUUGCGCCCACCACAACUAGAAGAGACAGGUAAGUAUAAGUAUAAAGGUUGUUUACAAAUUUUUUUGGUAUUGCACCCAGAAGAAAACCAAUUAAUAGCAGCAACUGGUCUAUUGUAGAUGUUAAGAGGAAACGAAAUGCACCGGGCCCGAGCCCUAAAGAACCUGCUAUGAAAAAACAGAUAUCUGAAAUGGACUGUGAUAAAGAAGAGAAUGCUGAGGAUUGUUUUGGAGAGCCUGUGCCUGAGAGGUUUAUUGUUGAAAUGAGGAGGUCUUUCAAGGAGCUGGAAGACCAAAUGUAUCAAAUGCAUGAAGAUAUGAAAGACUUUGUCCGUGACCAGAUACGUGCUGUCCUUGAUCCAAAAGGCAAAAGGCCAGAACAAACCAUACCUUCCCAUGAUUCGCGGGAACCACCUACUUCUAUGGAUAAGGCACCGGUUACUGCGAAGAAGCCAUCGAGAAGGAUGUCUACAAAAGGAAGCACUGAAACGAGAAAGUCUUCAAGGCUGACUCGUGUUUCUCAUGAUGUGGACACUCCUGCACUUUCUGUUGGCUGUAAUUCCAAAGAGGAAGAUUUGGAUAUCCCUGGAGUACAUACCACUGCUGUCGGCGGAAGAAAAAAACCUUCAAAGCCGAAGAAAAAUGUUUCUUUUGCUGUUGACACUACUGAGCUACCUGAUUCCAAUAAGGAAGAUAUGCAAGGAUUCAUUGAUGAACAGGUAAGUCAUGUACGUACAUUGCUAAAUAUUUUAUAAUCCAUAUGUAUAACUGUACUGUCUGCUUCGAUACAGUAUGGCGCUAAUAAUGAAAGUGAUUUUACUGCAAAUGAUGGAUUGGAUUCUUCGGCCGCUGAAGAAGAGAUAUUAGACACUGGAUUUUUAAUAGUUCCUUAUGCUGGAUCCACACAAUCCCAUCUGGUAUGUCGUCUACUAAUACUCUUAACAAUCUGUUUAAAUGGUGUACGUACAUAUUCGCUUAAGAAGUUAGUUAAACUAUGUUUCAGGAUAGAGGAAAUGUUGUUGUUGGUAAGACUGUCUUCUUAGGUUCAAUGUCUGGGACUGUCUAUGUUACACAGGAAGAGAGGCCUGUGGAAGAAGCUACUGUUGACACCGAGAUGGAAGAAGUUCCAUCUAAUGUGUAUGCAAGAGUUUCAGAGGUAGAUCUUCUGGUAAUCGUUAUAUACAGAUUUCCAUGACUAUAUGCAUAUAUAUUACAUUAAUUUCUCCACUUAUCUAACGCUUAACUCUAUGGUAGCCUAUGUUUCAGGAUAAUGGACCAAAGGAUGUUGCUGAACCUGGCUUAGUUGGUACCCAUACAGGGGCCGAUGAAAUAGCUGAUGCUGACAUAGAGAUGGUAGACAAUCCAUCAGGUUUACCUUCAACAUCUGCACAGGUAUGUGUUAGUCACUUGUUCUUUUUCCAUAUGUGUACGCCCAUAAGACUUUGCAAAUUAUUUUUGUUUCAUAAAGAAGCAAGAGAUGCCAGUGCAUCGACUGAAGCUAAUGGUAGCGAGUCAGAAGAAACUUAUGAGCCUUCUGAUGGAGAUACAGCUCACGUACCUGGCACAAGUGUACAUACAUUUUUGUCACUAUGUUUUGUGUACAUAUAUAUUGUUUCAUACAUUACUAAAAAGUUUCUUUCCGAUGAUAAAUUCUACAGGUUGAGGCGGCAGGAGAAUCCAAAUUAGUGACAGAGAUGGAAGUUGAAAUACCUGAGAAGACCCACAGUGAUCCCCCGUCACCAUUUCAAGUAGUUAACAAUGUAAGCUAACUCUUGCAACAAAUAAAAUGUACUAUUUACUGUUCAAAUGUAUAAAAUUUAUAUUAUGCAGGUCAUACGGGAGUUGGAUACCAAAGCCGUUGGUGAUUUGGCUGCAGCUACUGAUGUGGAGGUAACAAUUUGUGUGUUUUAAUUCCUAUUUUCGAAAUAGCAUGCAUAGGAUUAUAUGUGUACAUUAUAUAGACUUGUGUACGUUAACUUGGACAGGUAGUCAUGGAAGAGCCGGGUAUUGUCGAGGGGUCUGUAGGAACUGAGGAUCCUAACCCAGGGUCAGAUGAAGCAGACAAGACCGAUAUUCCUAAAAAUAAUGUAUGUACCUAUUUUAAAAAUAGAAAAACGUAUGAAACUGUUGUUGACAAUCAUAUUUGUUAACAGGAUGAAUCAGACAAUGCUGUUGCUGUCGAAGCAAAAGAAGAAAAAAAAUCGUCCCCAAAGGUCCCAAAAAAAGUGAAGAAUCAACUUGUCUAUGAACAGGAUGAUGUCCAUCCUCAUGGUUUUAAGGCAAAAACAGUCUUGGUGCCCGAUGUACCAAAUCAACAGAUAGAGGUUGUUAUCAGGGCUGAAAAUGUCUCAUACAACCCCCUGGACAUGGUUGACCCUUCAAAAGUAGAGGAAUUCAGCAAUAUCAUUAAAGGACCCUCUGUGUAAGUACAUUAUAUUAAAAUGGAUUAUUUAAUAUCUCAAUCAUCAUUUUUCCAAGUCUUAAGGUUGUUAUCAAAUAUUUUUCUGGAUUUACAGGAUUCACACUCUUUUCGGGUUUCGCAAAGUGCCCAACGAGUUUUUUGCGAACCUUCUAACACCUGGUGAAUGGGUCGAAAGUUUGGUACGUUUCAUUUAUAUUCGUACAUUCCUUGUUAUAAAUUGUACAUAGAUGAUUAAAUUUUUCGUGGAAGUGUACGUACACUGAUAUAUUUUUUGAACAUUUCAGCAUUUAGAAAAGAUGGCAAUGUUGAUGUGGCACAAGAACGGGGAACAGAUGAUAACAAACAGAUGUAUUGUAUUGGACAUGAUGCUGACACAUCUACUUACCAAGCGGGUGGGCGACUUCAAGAAGUGUAUUAAUAAGAACGGGUUCAAAUAGGGUAAAUUACUGUCCGACAUUGCUAAUGGAGUUCACAUAAACCGUGAACCCAAUAUGAAGUGGCUGAAGGAUGUCGAUGUUGUGUAUGCUCCGAUGAACUGGAAGAGUGAACAUUGGGUUGCUUUGGGAAUCAACCUUAAUGAACGGCUAAUAACUGUGUAUGACGCUUUAAUAUCGCACACGCGGGAGUCGGCUGUGAAGGCGAGAAUGACUCCUAUUUGCGAAAUGAUACCGUACUUAGUCAGAGCGAUGUGCCAGGAUGUAUUGAUUUCUCCGUACUCAGUUGAACCUUUUGAGUAUGUGCGUUGUCCUACCGUUGCUCAAAACCCAACUACAGGAGAUUGCGGGUCAUACACGAUGAAGUUCUUGGAGUUGCUUGCGUUUGGACACCCUUUUUCGGAAUUGACAACCAUUCGAGAAGCAGAUAUGGUUUUCUACCGUCAGAAAUACUCGGUUGACAUCUACGAGCACGGCAAGCGGGAGGCCGGUACUGUGCACUUGCUUUAAUCGUCCAAGAACAAUAUUCUGGUUCUUUGCAACCAAUUAUUAUGAACAAACCUAUCUUAGAUAUAUGAUUGCAACUACAUUUAAUUUGGAGAUUGUCAGAAGUUAAUUUAGUGUCCUCUAUCAUAUUGUCGUACACAUCGUUCACUUCUAAUUACAUAAUGUAAAUGUGUACGUACAUAUCUAUAUGUCUCGUACACUGCAUAUUAACUUUAUAACAUAACUCAAGUGAUAAAUUGAUUUGACAGCCAACGCUUACUAACACAAGUAUGACAUUCAUUUCAACCGUAAUUGCCCCAACCAAAUUCACAGUAGUGGUUAUUAAAGUGAAGAAAUUACUGACGAUCUCUGACUAUCUCAUUUCAAACAUGGUUAACCCGACUCUUCCCGACGAUUUACUCUCGAAGAUAGCUAAGAACCUGGCUAACCAAUGCUGGUCCGACCUUGGUCCACUGGUACGAUCCGGCACUCGUGGAAGAGACAUUGUCUACCGUCCGGAUGUCCUCAAAGAUGCCAAUAUUCUCACCUUGUGUAACUCGCCCGAUGACUUCCAAGCUUGAGGGGGCCACAAUCCCUCCGGAUCCGCUGAUGAAGGCCGACAUCGACCAUUUUUUUUACGGUGUUUUGCAGCUAAUAAUCCCACGGCAGUGUAUUACGAAGGUAUUCGUGUUCUAACGCAUGAACGAAACAUCAAUGGAGCCAUCAGGCUCUUACAGCGUCAUGCUCCAGUACGAGCAAAUGCAACAGUUACAUGCGCCAUUGUAUUCAUAUGUGCUGGGUAUGAUUAUAUGGGCGACUUGUUUCUACAGCUCUUCACCCGCAACCAUUAUCCAUUGGACUCGGUUGCCACUCGAAUUUGGGUGAUGAGUUUCUUCAAGGAAAUAAAGAAGUUUGACCCUGCAUACAACAAUACAUAUGGUCCUACGUUCUCUUAUCCUACCAGCCAUGGAAUUAGUAUGCCUCCUUGCGCCUUAUAUUGUUACAUGGUAUCAGGAGCUUUCCAAAACGUUUGCAACCGCUGUUACCUCUGAUCGUGUGCCAGGCGUGUUAGUCAAAUGCUAUAGUUAAAAUCUAAAGUUGAAUAUUUUUCAGCCAAAUUCGCAUAUGAUAUUUAGUUCCCGAAGUAAAUGUAAAUUUGGAUAUUAAAAUCUAAGCGUCCACAACUACGUACACGUGCAUCUACCAAAUAAUACUUAAAGGUUUUUUGUUUGUCUCGGAAAACUAGAUAUGUACGUACACUAGCAUGAGAUAUCAACUCUAACGUACACUAAAAAAUAACACAUUCAAACAUAUGAGGUCUUUGGUUUGUCUCAUAAAUGGUGAUAUUUAUGAAUGGACGUACACUGAUAGUACACUACAGCGUACACUGUUUGUUGGGUAAAUGUAGAAAUGUAAAUGUGGACGUACACUACAACGUACACUGUUUGUUGGGCAAAUGUAGAAAUGUAAAUGUGGACGUACACUAAAACGCACACUAAAACGUACACGUCUAGUUUUAAGCUGUUAUUAAAAAGUGGUUGCUCAUAACAACAAUAACAAAUUAUAUAUGGAAUACUAUUACGUUGAUUUGACAAUAUGAAUACACAUCAUCACUUAAUACCUUUGCAAUAAAUACAACCAUAACUUACCCAACCAUAUCUUCAAUGAUGCUUAUUUAAGUGUUGGAAUUUCAUUUUGUUAAAACACCUUACUCCUAAAUAUAACAAACCCAAAUAUUCAUGAUGAUUUGCUUGCGAAGAUAGCCAAGAAAAUGGCUGACAAAUGUUGGUGGUACCUCGGACCUAUGUUGAAAUCCGGUCCUCGUGGAAGAGACAUUGUCUACCGUCCGGAUGUCCUCAAGGAUGCAAACAUUUUCAGCAUGUGCGACGAUCCCGAUGACUUCUACGCGGUAGGCCACGAUCCAAAUGACAUCAACUCCGAAGGUCGCUAUAGACCCUUCUUCAAACGGUGCUUACAAGCUGGUAACCCCACGGCUAUUUACCAUGAAGGACUGCGUCUCGUUACACAUGAGUCUGACAUUCAGGGAGCUAUCCUACACUUAGAGCGAAUCUCCCCAAGGAACGCCGCUGCAACCCUUGCAUGCGCAAUUCUUUACAUAUGUGCUGGUAAUGCUCACAUGGGUGGUGUCUACCUUCGGCUCUUCGGAAGCAACCAUUAUGCUUUGGAAUCGGAGGAGGCACGUGACAUUUGUGAGGAGGUGCUAGAAGAUAUAAAGAAAUAUGGUAAUACUUUAAAAUACACAUACGCUAACAGUUUUUCGUACCCGGAAUGUGGUGACUUAAGCACUCCUGAAUGCGCAGAGAUGUGUUACAUGAGAUCGAGACUCUUCAAUAAUCUUUGCAACCAAUGUUACAUCUGGUUGUGUGCUAAACGGAUUAGCCAGAUCCUGUAGAGCUCACAUUCGCCACGAUCCUGUCAUAUUUAUAAGUUUUUCAUGCAACAAUAUGUGAGCUUUUUACGUUGAUUAUCAGUAAUGGAAGUUUGUUUUUAAUAAUUAUCACUUUGUAAUUGAUUCAAACAUACUAGCUCAAACUACUCUAAUAUGAGACAUCAUUAACACAAAAUAAUAAUAAAAUAAUAAAAUAUCUACGUACACGGUAUAUGAUAAUGUACAUGUGGUAUAGUUUAAUUCCAACUAUAAAGAUUACAUAGUGAGCGACGGUAUAGUUUGUAAAUGAAGACGAAAGAAAAUUUGAUUUGACGUCGUAUAACACAUAUCUAGAAGAUUUCGCUCCAUAUUAAUUACUCGCUGUCAAAUACACACUAGAAGUGACCUCCAUCACACUCUCAUUAAUAUCUCUAUUAGACAUACACGGUUCCCGAGCAACGUACUCAAUUGAUUUGGCAGAUAAAAUAAGUAAGUUAAUGUUUAUUUGAAAAGAUUGUUAGUAAAUGCGUUGACCCCUAAUAUAGCACUAUACAUGAAGCCAUAUUGUUCCACUUAUAUGCAAUACAAACAGACGUUAACUCAACCUUCUGUAAGAAAACGUAAUGAGUAUUUUAUAGACAUACACGGCGCGAUUAUGAGAGGUACACAGUAGUUUGUUUAAAUUAAAAGUUACUAAUAUGAUGCACUAAAUAUACAUCCACGUCACCCACCCACUUACAUUGAUGAUUAUUCCCCUCUUUAAAACUCAUGUCAAACACACUUAGUUGAAUACACGAAUCCGUCUAAACCUCCUCGUUUGAAAAACAAUGCCUUUCCUACCUCCGCUAACCCCUCCAACCGAGUUGUACCUAGGAAUCCAAUUGCCAAACCCCAUAAGCAUACUUGUCAACUACCUCCCCGUCAGCCAGACUCCCAUAGAGACGCUAAGGAACUUAGUCAACAGUUGUGACAUCAACACCCUUGCAAUCGAUGAAUUCAUGACGUGGCCGUCGUUACUCCAACCGGAGUCUACCUUCCGGCCAUACUUCGAGCUGCUUGUAGAACGUGGAUCCAUCCCGGCGGUUUACCUUGAAGGUGUUCGCCAAGCGAGCAACUUCGUGACAGUAGCUCAGGGCCUUUCAGUCAUGACAACGGUCGCUUUAUCUGAUCCCUUUGCUUGCUUCGCAACCGGUUUGUUCCUUACGUGUACUGGUAAUCACUUGGAUUUCCUCCCGAUCAGCGAAAAGUUCUGGGAAAUGACACCCACCCUUGAAGCUGGCCACGCGGUUGCAGAGAUGGUGAUGUAUCACAUCAGCCAGCUUCACACUGAAAAUGCUCGCCGCUGGGAAAGGUCUUGGAGGUUUGUCCACCCGCUGAGUUGCGUAGGGCAAUGCACGUUCCAUCAUGGCUGCAGGGUUUGUUUUUUCUACUGGUACGCCAGGGAGAUUGCUAUAUUCUGUGUAUGACGGAUGCACACAUAUUUUGCAACACAUGUGUAUGCUUCGUUGAAAAAAUUAUGUUUUUUGAUUCGUUCCAGUUUAUUUAUCUUAUGAAUUUCCCUUUAUAUAAACUGCCUGUCUUUUUUAUGUUUCUGGCUUUUGAAUGAAUUACCCCUUUAAGUAUUACUAGAUGUCUUCGUGUACGUACACUAUAUAGUACAUUAAACUUGGUUUAUCGUACAUUGGGAAAUUGCGUACACAACAUAAGUAUAAAUCUAAUAGUUUUUGAUGUUGAAGGCACCAAAACUAAUACACGUACACGAUAGCGUACACCAGAAACUAUACGUACAUUGCGAGAGGAUUUGAACUAUAAAACAAGGCAUGUACAUAAAACAACAAAUUAGAUUAACAUUUAAACGGAAACAGGAAAAAACAACGACUGAAAUGUAGUUUGGUUCUUAUGGAAACAACAACAACAACUGGGAAAGAAAACUUAAUUGAAAUGUAGUCUUAUAUUAUAUUAAAACGGAGAAUAAUGGUGUAACGCCUGUGUCCCGAGUUAGGGAGUAACCCAGAUCUUACACCAGCCGAAUUCGAGGACGAAUUCAGUUUAAGGGGGGUAGACAUGUAACGACCGCGUCCCGCGUUCAUAAAGAGGCCAAGUUGUUUUAGGAGAAAACUAGACCAUGGUCAAGAAACGGACUAAAAUACUUAGUCGGAUGAACGAGAAAGUUCAAGCUGAACCAGCUAGGUGAGCUGGACAAGCUAGGAUGAACUAGCUAGCUAAGCUAGGUGAGCUUAACCAGGUGGAAGACUAGCUAGCUCAGCUAGAUGAGCUGACCGACAGCUCGACUGAGCUCGGUGAGCUGAUCGUGUACUGACCCAGCUGGGUGGUCUGGUCAGCUGACACUCGAGCUGGUGGACUGUGGUAGCUCACGGGUGAAAAGGUGUCUCGGCCAAAAGGUGUAAGGUCGAGCGGGUACCAACGAACGGUUGUGACCUUUUGGAAGGAACGGAUGUGACCUUUUGGAAGGGUGCAAGGAACGGAUGUGACCUUUCGGAGGGGUGCAAGGAACGGAUGUGAUGCUUCGGGAAGCAUCCAUUCGCCCCCUAUAUAAGGGAGGACGCCCAAGGCCUUUGAAAUAAUCUCACAUCAUCUCACAACAUCCAAAACACCAUAAAACAUUCUUAAAGGAGUCCCAACACAUCGUAGAGUUGUUGGUCGGAAAGGGGGUGCGGCUCGGCGAGUAUAAUUCGACCGAACUGAUGCGCAUGCUACCUCCCGGUCCAACGGUUCGAUGGAGUGUAGAUGAUGGAGAGGGUAGACCGUUCGUCUUAGAGACAAAUCGGAUCUGGUAGACCGAUCGUUGGAUCGGAUCGGCCAGACCGAUCGUCAGACGGAUCGGAUCGGCCAGACGGAUCGGAUCGGCCAGACGGAUCGGAUCGGCCAGACGGAUCGGACUGACUGAUCGUCGGACGGGUCAGAUGGGACAGGCCGAUCGUCUGACAGAACGGGACGGACAGACCGAUCAUCGGAUGGGAUGGAUCGAGAAAAGUGUUCGAGGAAGCACAAGGAUAAGUGCAUCCGAGCACACCCAAGGGUCGCCCAUGGAUGCAAUCUUACCGGUAAAGGGAGAAAGCACCAAGAAUGGGUAAGGAACGUGAUUCACCAUAUAGGAUCAACAUCGCGGCCGCCUUCAUGUAUCUAUCUCCUCAGCCAUGGUGAAACCGAUCAGAGAUCGGUAAGACCAAAGGGUGACUCGACGGAUAACCAACGGGAAAGUCUACGGUGGGAACCGAUGGACAAAACGGAUGUUGGACCCGCGAGCAAACCUAAGGCCGACGGAAGAAAGAUUUCAUGGGCUAGCCUACGAUGAUCCAGUGGAUGAAUCCACGGACCCUUGGGUGUGAUAAGGAUAUAGUUCGAAUCGUAUGGAUGGAUCAAUAAGCCGAAAGCUUUAUCGACCACCAUAAACCGGACGGAUAAACGGUUAGUAAACCGUGGGCGGUCGUAGUAAAUGACCGGAUCGGAAACAUGGAUGGUUCGAUAAGCCAAGGGCUCAAUCGUCCACCAUGGAACCGAAGGGGAGUACGUUUGGAGGACGGAUGGACCAAUAAGCCAAGAGCUUGAUUCGACCAUCGUGAACCAAGGGAAUCGUACAAUCCCCAAUCUCUAUCGUUGUACUUAGACCAGUGGGGUUGGUUGGUUGUAUGGCUAAGUAACGAUAGGGAUUGGUUCAUCAAUUCACGACCGAUGACGAGUCGUUGAACGAAUAGAGUAAGGCGACAAACGGGCUAAGGAAUCAAAUACGCAUAUUGGCCAAGGUAUGUAAAGAUCUAGCUUAUUAGUUAAGAUAGACGUUUGGUAAUUGACCGUGAAAGUAGGAUAAAGGAAUAUGCGAUUGUUUGGCUUAGAAUGGUUAGCGAACAUAUGCAUGUCUUGACCGAGUAAAGGAUAGAUCUAAGUCUAAGGGACAAAGACGAUGAAACCGGUACAAGAGUUGGUUAGAAUUAAACCAAGGUUAGAAAGACUUCCGCUGUGUAAUAAGAGAGCGAUUAUAGAAUUUAGCCUCGUAAAGGCAAUUCUAUGUUGAAUCGCAAAAAAUUAAGAGGUUCGGCCGGAGAGAGGCGCGAACUUGAGUACUACGUCGCCGGACGACGAGACGUCCGGGACGGGGUCUUACAAAUGGUUCAUUCCCUCUAGCUAAAAAACCACCAUCGAGAUAUCCGCAACUUCUGGUCUGUCCGGAUUGGCAACCACCUUUGAAAUAGCACCAUGGCUCUCAAGCUUCGGGUUAGACAGUUCGGUUAGACGCCAAAAGCUGAGUGCGACAAUAAAAUUUCCCUUACCCAAACUCUGAAAGUAACCAUCCAAGUACUCCGCCUGUUGAUUGCGGGCUUCGCACUCCAAGACUUCAUUGCUACGUUAGAAAUAUGGACAGUUAGCGUUUAGAGUGACAUUGUAAAUAAAACAAAUGAAAAGAACACUUACUAUCUAUCUUUUAUCUUGAAACUCAGUUUGAGACCGUAAUAGUCUGUAGUCAAUGCGCCAACAUCAACCAACGCUCCAACGACAUCUAGAUGAUGGAGAAACAAAGAUAAUAAACAAAAAUUUUCAAAAAUGUAAUAAAUGAAGCAUCGGAGUUAUUCUUCCUCACCGACUAAAACGUUCUUGUAAGCAGAUUUCUCCAAAAUGUAGUCGAAGGGAGUGAAAUCGAAAUCUGGAACUGGUGGUGAUCUCGGUGGGGCCUGAACGACGACGGUCCGAUCCAUAAACAGUAUGUCGUAUUCAUGCUUUGUUGCUCUGACUGAGUCAGUUGACUUACGGACCAAGAAAGAGGUGAUCGUCUUCCACUCAUUUUCAACGAAUCGGUCUUCGUAAAACGGAGCAAGGCGACGAUCAACGGUGGCCUCAAUACGGUUAUUCUUUACAUACAGAACAUGAUAGUAGACAGUUUAAUAUACAAGUUAAGCGAAUGAACGAGAAAAACACAUAAUGAUUUGACGGAAAUUACCGCGUAAUCUGCCAGGAUAAGGCCGAGUUCGAAGACGUUGGGCGAUAUAACCUUCUUGAAGACUCUCAAGUCAAAGACAUAAAUUCGCCACCCAGUGAUCAGAGGACACAAUUCUGAGACCAUAUGAAACCCCUCCAUCUCACGGAUAGCAAGAACAAGCGAAUCGAAAGACUAAAUUUUUAUUUGUGAAUGAUAUAACUGCCGGCACAAGAAAUGGGUUUAAAAUGAGGAUUGUGGAUAAAAUUAAGGAAGGGAGGAGACUUAAAUAGAGGAAAUCUGGAACGGCUACAGUUAUUAAUGCGGUUCCAACUACACUUGAUUCAAAUUUUUGGUAAUAGCUUGGUAACCGUCAUAUAGGGUAAUUAUUACGUUGAUUUGACAAUAAACAUCAACAGUUACGUCCUUUCCAUUAAAUACCAACACAACCACAGUAUACCCAACCAUGUCUCCAACUCCGUUCAUUUAAGAGGGGGAAUAAGUUAGAUUUUCAAAAAACUUAUUUGAAAUUACUCAAAAUAUUGAGCAACCACCUCUAUGUACCCUUAUUACAUGAACUUUAACACGUACACAGACAAAAACGUACAUAGUUAUACAAACGUAGAGUUUAAACGUACGUACACAACGUACAUAGUUACAGGUGGAUUAUAUAUAAACUUACGUACACCGAGAAAACACAGAAGCGUACACUAUAUUGGCAGGCUCAGAAACUUGUCACCAGAACUAGAUUGGAUUUUUGCACAUCUUCUUGUUAUGACCUGCUUGUCGACAGCGUGAGCACUGAUUUGGUAAAAGUCUUUUCUGUCUCUUUUUCUGAAGUGACAAAGACAGGAAGUUAAAAAUCUCCGCAUGGUAAUACUCAAAAUACAAGUAGAUGAAUGAACGAUGUUAGUACAUACCCGGUUUUCACCUCUAGAUGGGAUCCUUUUGGACAGUGGUCUUCCUGGUGGCCGUCUACUGUAUAGAGGAAUGAGUAUCAAAUCCACUAUAUGUUGUGGGAUGACAACAUCUUUCGGAUCCGCGAUAGGUAGAAUUGGUUCUUGGAAAGAAUCAGAAAACGUUUGAAGGCCAUACCACCAUCCGACACAAGACUUCGGAUCAAUUCCAUGCUUGAUUGCAGCUGCUAGAGCGUGUUCACAAGGGAUUCUUAGCUUGGUGUACCUAAGACACGUACACGUACACUGGUCCAGAACGACAUGAAAAUGCUCACCGGAUUUACUUGUCACUUGAUAGCUCCACGGUCCAGACAUCUUCACAGCGUAUUUACCUGACGCAGGCAACUCUUGUAGAAAUCUCUCAUCAACCUCAGGUGUCACAGAAGAUUUGCACCUAGCAACUUUCUUCCUCCUCGAUGCGAACCAUCGCAUUAGGACAUCCCGAAUGAACUCGAUCAUGUAAAUAAUCGGAUAAGUUUUUGCUUUUGUUAACACAUGAUUCAUGGACUCAGAGCUAUUGCUAGACAUGAUAUUGUAGCGUUCUCCUCUACAGUGAGCUCUUGUCCAAUGCUUAAAUCCUAUGUCCUCUAGGUAUUUUGCGCAUUUAGCACUCUUUUCCCUUAACAGUUCAAAAUAUUUCUCGAAAUCCCUGACCCUAUAAGCUUUGGCAGCGCUGAAAAAUAAAGCAGACACACCAAACUUACCAUAAUAGGUGGAGAGGUUUCGCUCAAGGUGAACAACACAUGCUCCAUGAUGCGCUCUCGGGUAAACAACACUUAGGCCUUUGUAUAUAGAUGAAUGUCUGUCCGAGACAAUCAUUAAAUCGUCACUGUCUGGAACAAUCUCAGCUAACUUUUCAAAAAACCAUGCCCAAGAAGCAUCGGUCUCACCAUCAACAACACCAAAAGCUAUUGGGAAUAUUUGGAAGUUCCCAUCUUGGGCACAUGCAAUAAGGAGACAUCCUUUGUAAGGUUCGACUAGCUGCGUUCCAUCUACUACAACUACCUUCCUCAUAUAUAUCAGACCUUUGAUAGAAGCCCCAAGAGAGACAAAGACAUACUUGAAGCGCUGCUUACCAUCAUCUUCUGGUGUAUAGUGUAGGUGUGUUAUUGUACCCGGAUUAGCUAAUUGGAGAAGAUACAGAUAGGUCGGCAAAAACCUGUAAUUUGCUAUCUCAUCCCCCCUUACAUUUUCCACUGCAACCUCUUUUGCUCUCCAAGCGGUAGAAUAUGAAAUCCGCACAUUCAGAUCAUUUAGGAGCAGCUGUGGUAAAUCGACAGCUCGCGGCCCACCCUACGUAGAACUGUAUCUGCUCCUCACAACUUCCCCGAGGAGCUUAUAAUUAGCAUGUUUAAUGUAGUUCUUCCGAGAGUCGAUGUUACACGUAUGUGUCGUAGCAUACGAAGUGAUUUUGAAACUUUCUGAAUCCUUCACGAUGCAAGCAGUCAAUUGCCAUGGACAAGUCUCAUCAACGCACACCAUCUUUAAUGUUUUAGGACAUGACUUAGGUUGCUUGAAGCAAAAGCAUUGCUUUAUCGCUUGAAGAGACAUUGUUUGUUGCAGGACUUUUCUAUUCUUAAAAACACUUCCAACAAACAAAGUUUCGCCUGUGGUGCUGAUUUCAACCUGUGUCUCAUCAGCUCGAAAAUUGAGUAAGUCAUCGAACACAGGAGCAGCAUCGUUACCGAGAUUCGCCAACUCGCCACCAUGUAACUUAGGAAAUUCAUUAUACACUUGGUAAGCCUCAGCUGCGGUAACUACCCCAUUAUCAUUCUGUGUCCCAGUUGAGGAAGCUCCAAUACCGUCGAUCACUUCAUCCCCGGUAACUUCGUCUAUACAAAUAAGAUUGGAAUCCUUUUGCCCUUCGCAGCGUGUACCGUAACCCAAUGGAAAAAUUGUUUCUUCGCCAGGUACACUAAGAUCAGUGUACGUACACGUUUCCAAGAGACGACUGAAUUCUCUUGUAUCUCCGUCAGGUACACUAACACCCGUGUACGUACACGUUUCCAAUAAACGACUGAAUUCCCCUGGAUGUUGAGCAGUCUGUUGAGUGAGAUUGACGUCUUCCUCAAGAUUUCCUUAUACAUAUUCUUCUACUAUUACAUCGUUCCACUUGUUGUAAUCGUAUUUUUCGCCAAUACCUUCACUACCGUCUGUGGUAGGAUACAUGGUACUUCCCCCAAUAGAUCCAUCCACACCAAGAUAAUCAUCACACCCAUCAUCAUCUUCGUUGCCCUCCUCCACUUCAUCCUCUUCUGUUGUAUCGUCUUCAACAUCGGCUUGCUCCUCUGCAUCCUCAUUAUUUUCAUCAACAUUUGUAGCACUAUCAAACACACGGUCACUUUCAGAAACUUCACCAUGAGACCUAGAGACAGUAUUCCCGAACGCCUUCACUGUAUUAUUGAAAGAGACGAACAAGUUGAGAGAAAGAUACCCACCACAAACAAAAAAAAACGUUUCGAGACCCAUCUGACUGUCAAUGUAUACAGGAGGGCGUUUAGUAUCUAUCAGCACUGACAUUUCUCCCGGCAUCCAGUAGCUAAUUAUGGGAUUGAUCUCGGUGGACUUCAAACUGAAAGCCUCUCGGAGUGUACGGACAAAGUCCGUGUACGUCAUGGUUUCCUGAACGCGUACACAACGACCAAAGAUGCCUUCCUCAGGUUCAAAUUUCCAUUCUCCUUCUUUGCAUUUCCACUCACCGACCAUAGUAAAUACGGGAAUAUCCAUAACCCACCUGCAUCAUAAAUUCAGGAGACACACAUUAAAUGCAACUGAAAAAUACUAUACAUAUAAAAAACAAAUGGAAUGUCGAUACUACACAUUUAUAAACCUAAAUACCAAUUAUCAUUUGACUAUUUUAAACAAACAAAUAUAGAUUUUGCAAAUUUUCUGAUAAAAAAAUGGAGUUAAAACACAAUCAAGAUCCUAAUAUGACAUAACAAAAAACUUCUUAAAAGAACUUCAUUACUUACACGAGCAAUGCUUGUUUUGGCUCCAAACUUGGUACAAAAACAAGAUCAACACUUCUUCAACAGCAAUGUACGUUCUUAAUUUUUUAUUAAUUAUUAUCAAUAAUUUUUUUAAUAUUAUUUGAUGUAAUGAUGAUUUUGCAUUAAUUGUGACAAUAGUCACAUCUAAACUUUUUUGGGGCAUUAAAUGUUGAUGUCACUUCGGAAUAAUGAAAAUAAUCUCACUUGUAACGGAACCGAAUCGCGUCAACGUGAAACAAAAAAUCUUCAACUGAAUCGGAACAGUGUACGUAACUAAACCUGCUAAACUAAACCGUACAUUUCAACAGUUACUAAGAGAGAAGCGCAAGGGCAGAAACGUCAUUUUGCAGGCGAAAAGACAAAUGGUGAAAACCACAUUUGACUUUAACAAUCCAUGGAAAUAAAACAUGGUCAACGGGUGUGGCCUGCAAUUUACCCUUAUAUAAACACUAAUAUAUAUAUCUAGGCUAGUACAGUUUUUCCUCUACGACAUUUACAAAUCUUUUUUUUUCUUUUUCUUAAAACUCUCAUUAAAAAAACAAUGAUAAAUCAAACAUGCUUCGUUCCGGCUUAAUUACUGCUCUUCCCCAUCUCAAGCGCAUUCCCAUACUCCCAUCCUCUACAAACCUUGACCAAUACCAGUGUGACCUCCACACUUGACCCAUCUCCUCAAUCGGAAUACCUUUCGUCUCCGGCAAGAAUCUUUAAUGGGUCGGAUUUGUAGAUUUACGGUUUAAUGGGUCGGAUCUAGAUAGUUUUAAUCAAUCUUUUUAUAACAUUACCGUUGGAUAAUAUAAGUAAGAAUAUACUGUAGCAUAGAUACUGAUGAUUUUAUGUGAGGCUUUCAUUGACUUAAGAGCCACGUAACCCAAUAAAAAUGGGUCAAGCCCAAAUGCGGUUCAUUUGAUAUGUGAAUGAAUGAUAUUAAAACCAAAUUCUAUCGUGAACUAUCUUUACAAAACAAUCACUUUCUCUCUCGCUCUCUCUGUUUCUUGACUCUCUUCUUCAUUAGUCUCCAUUGAUCUUGAAACACCAUUGAUAGAGUCAUGAAGUUUGUGGUCGAGAUUCUGGGUGGUUCAUCGUUCGAGAUUGAAGUGGAACGCACAGAUACAUUGUUAGUGGUCAAACAGAAGAUCGAGAAGUCUCAACGUGUCCCAGUUUCGAAACAAACCCUUAUCGUCGACGGCAUUUUUAUUCUUCGAGAAGAUCUUAACCUCGACCAAUGCCAGAUCUUCCACGAUUCUCAAAUCCAACUCGAAGUCUCUCCUGACGUGAACCCUAUUCACAACAACGACGAUCAAAUCCCGCAAACAGAGCAAUCUCCUCCAGCACCGUGGAUUUCAGUUGAAGAGUACUUUGCGGAGCAAGAUUGGCCUUUGACAGAGGAAGAGAUCAGAAAGAUUUACAGUUAUCGGCCUGAGACAACCCAAGACAUCAGUAAGAUUCAAGAUGCGCAUCAAACAGAGGAAUCUCCACCGUCAAACUCAGUCAAAGAGACCGUUAACAUUCAAGAUUCGUCUGUGAAGUUUGCGAGUAAGAACAACAACGAUCAAGUGCCUCCAACGAAGCAAUUUCCACAGUCAAACUUAGUCAAAAAGAUCACUAACGGAAAAAAAAGAGUCCGGCAGAUGCUAGUAUAUGUGUCGCCAUAUCCUGGUAUGAAUGAAGUCCCAACGAAUAUUCUGGUGCAAGUGAAAGUUACGGAUGAGGUGAAAACACUGAGAGGUCUUAUGAAACUGGCUCAAGAAGGGUACAUCUUUACGCACAAUAAUCAAGUAUUGAACGAAGAUCAGUCAUACGAGUGUAACAGUGUUAAACCCUUGGAUACAAUUGUGAUUGUUCCCAGACGUGUUAUCCAAGAGACCAGUAAGAUUCAAGAUUCGUCUGUGACGGUUCAAGUGCCUCAAAUGGAGCAAUCUCCAGCGUCAAACUCAGUCAAAGAGAUCACUGACCCGAAGAAGAAGAUUAAAGUAUAUGUGGUGGCAGCUUCAAGUGAGUGUAAAGGUCUGAAGAGAUUUAUUGAGGUGGAUGUGAACUCGACGGAUCAAGUGAAAAUACUGAGAACCGAGUUGGUUGAAAGUGGUCGGAGGGGUCAUAUAAGAAUGCCUCACGAAGGAUAUUUCUUUGUGGACAGAAAGAAAGAGAGAGUAUUGAACGAAGAUCAGUCAUUCGAGUGGAACCGUGUUCUUCCAGCCGAAACAGUUUAUAUGGUUAGUGGACGUGAUACACAUUUUGCCUCGUCUUUUACUCGUGGCUCUAAAGUCACAAUGCUUUGUGCUCAAAAAGUUCUGUAGAAAGUCUGUAUAUAUGACACAGAAGAAACCAAAAACUAUGAUACAUUCAGCAACAGAAAGUUAUGUGGAUCUUUAACUCUUUGCUAAUAGGUUUUAAUCUUUCUUCAAGUUUUCUUCUGGCCCUUAAGUCACAAUGCUUUGAAAUUUUUGAGUAUAUGUAGAUACAUAGAAGAAACAAAACUAUGAUACAUUUAGUAACAGAAAUUUAUGUGGAUUUUAUCCUAUUUGUAGGUGUAACUCUUUUCUUCUAGGUUUUAAUAUUUUUCUUCAAGUAAACUUGUUGUUAUUGAAUUCCCUUUAGUCGAAAGCAGCGAUCAAGCUUCUCUUAUAAGUUACAAACCCUAAUUUCAGCAAACACAACUUGGAAACACUAGCAGCAACAACUUUGUUAUUUUAAAACAUUAGCAAAAGAAAUCUCAUUGCAACAUCAAAUGGCAAAACUGGAAGGUAAAAAAAGCAGAACUUAUCAAACAAGACUACCAAUAUGAUGAACUGAUGAUUUUUUUUUUUUUUUUUUUGGCUCAACAACAAACUUUCCAUUCACCCAUUUAUGGAUACACAGUCUAGCUCAACAGAGCUUUUAACCCAAAUUGGUACAAUAGAAUACAACUUUAGAUCAUAAUUCUCAAAAGAAAGAGAUUCCUUAGCUAUUCUAUCUGCCACUCCAUUUCCUUCUCGGCUUGUAUGCACAAGCAUAAAAUCCUCAAACUUGCUAAGUAGAUACUUUAUGUCUUGGAUAAUUGGAUUGAGACUUGACAAGCAUAACUUUCAUGUAACCAAAGACACAAGUUGCUGAGAAUCCACCUCAAAAAUGAUCUUCCUAUAAUUGAAUCGGGAUAAUGACAGCACAGCCCAUCUAAGAGCCUCCACUUCUACUUCCAGCACGCUUCUUACUUUUACCACAGCUCUUGCACCUAACCAUAACACCUUCCCUGUAUGAUCGCGAAGCACCCACCCUAAGCCACAUUUUAAUCCUUCUGUUGGCCAUGCCCCAUCAAAGUUGCACUUAACCCAAGAUUGUGGUGGAGCUUCCCAUGUUUCUCGUCUGUCCCGACGGUGUUGUGGUUGGUGCUUUCCUUACAUUCUGAGCCUCUUUCCUUCUAAUCCACUCAUCUGCAUCUUCUUGUGUCCUUACUAAUACCUCAUUGGUUCCAAAUUCCCUCCCUUUAAGCACCAGCUCGUUUCUGUUCUUCCACAGCCUCCCAAGUAUCCAAGGGACUAAAGCCUCCACAUUCUUCAGAUCAGGAUAUUCUUGUUUAAGAUGUUGAACUCUAUGGAGGUUUGUAUGAACUGAUGAUCUAGGACCGGAUAAGUUCCCUUCUUCAUAGCGAACUUAUUCAAAGAAUGUUUUGUGUAUCAUUCUUGUUACAUUGUUAUUAAUGAAAAAAUAUUAUUGGUCAUUGGACUGAACACGAGUGUUAAAUAUGGACCAGGCCCCAAAUAAGAUC